UGGGAUACUACUACAUGGGAUGAUUUAACAAGACCUUUCCCUGAAGUUGUGAAAGGAAGUAGAAUUAUUUUGACGACUCGACAAAAGGAAGUGGCUUUUCAUGGAAAGGGCAACACUGACCCUCUUAACCUUCGAUUGCUAAGACUAGAAGAAAGUUGGGAGUUAUUAGAGAAAAGGGCAUUUGGAAAAGAGAGUUGCCCUGAUGAACUAUUGGAUAUUGGAAAAGAAAUAGCCCAAAAUUGUAAGGGACUUCCUUUGGUGGCUGAUCUGAUUGCUGGAGUCAUUGCAGGUUUGGAAAAGAAAAAGUCUGUGUGGCUUGAAGUUCGAAAUAAUUUUAAUUCCUUUAUUUUGAACAGUGAAGUGGAAGUCAUGAAGGUUAUAGAAUUAAGUUAUGAACAUUUACCAGAUCAUCUGAAGCCAUGCUUUCUGUACCUUGCAAGAUAUCUGAAGGACAAAGAAAUGAACAGAGAUGUGAUGAAAAUGCAUUGGCGUGCUGAAGGGCUAGUUGAACAGACAGGGAUGAAGAGUUUGGAAGAAGUGAUGGAAAUUUAUUUGGAUAAUCUAAUUUCCAGCAGCUUGGUAAUUUCUUUCAAUGAGAUAGGUGAUGACCCGACUUGCCAACUACAUGAUCUUGUACAUGACUUUUGUUUGAUAAAAGCAAAAGAGGAAAAGUUGUUUGAGCAGAUAAGUUCAAGGGAUCCAUCUUUUUCUUCAGAAUUGAUGCCACGCAUUGUAAACAUUGAUUAUAAUAAGGAGCAGUUUGAGCAUAACACUUUCGUUCUGUUUAGUUCAAAAAUGAAAAGACAUUCUGGUAAACACCUCUAUUCUUUGUUCAUAACUGGAGACAAGAUGGAAGAUUGUCUUUCUGAUGCAUGUCACCUAAGAGACUUGAGGCUUCUCAGAGUGUUGCAACUGGAUCCCUCUUUUAUGAUGGUGAAAGAUUCUUUGCUGAAUGAAAUAGGCAUGUUGAAUCAGUUGAGGUUCUUAUAUAUUGGGACAGAAGUUAAAUCUCUGCCUUCAUCUUUCUCAAACCUGUGGAAUCUAGAAACCAUAUGGGUUGAAAACGAAGGAUCAACCUUGGUACUAUUACCGAGAAUUUGGGAUCUUGUAAAGUUGCGAGUGCUGAUCAUGAAUUCUUGUUCUUUCUUUGAUAUGGAUACAGAUGAACCAAUACUGAUAAUAGAGGACUCAAAGUUAGAGAACUUGAGAGCAUUAGGGACAUUCGUGCUUUCCUAUUCAAAAGAUACAGAGGAUAUUUUCGUAAGGUUCCCCAAUCUUCAAAGGCUUACAUUUAUUCUCAAGGAAUUAUGGGAUUAUUCAUCAAAGCGCUUUUGGUUCCCUAAAUUGGAUUUCCUAACCAAACUAGAAGUCCUCAAUGUAGAAUUUGAAAGUUCAAAUUCAAAUAACAGUGGGCCCUCUGUAGUGACAAAUUGGUCGUGGGAUUUUCACUUCCCUUCUUAUUUGAAAACAUUGGUGUUGCGUGACUUUCCUCUGACAUCCGAUUCACUAUCAACAAUAGCGAGAAUGCCCAAUCUUGAAGAUCUGGGCCUUGAGAAGACAAUUAUCAAGGGGGGAGAAUGGAACAUGGGGGAGGAAGACACCUUUGAGAAUCUCAAAUAUUUUGGGCUGUUUGAAGUGCCUCUUGCUAAGUGGGAGAUUGGAGAGAAAUCCUUUCCCGUGCUUGAGAAAUUAGCAUUGUGGGGAUGUCGUAAGCUUGAGGAGAUUCUGCCUAAUUUUGGGGAUAUUGGUUCAUUGAAAAUUAUCGAACUUGAAGAGAACCCUCAAAUUGAAGAUUCCGCUCUGACGAUUAAGGAAUAUGUUGAAGAGAUGACGGGAGAAGACAAGCUUAAGAUCAUUAGCCCGAACAAUAUCCCGUUAUCUAAGACAGGUUCUUCUCUAUUAUUUUGCUUCUUAGAAACCAAAUUUAUGCGUGUUAAUUUGAUUUUUGAAGUGGGUAAUUGCCAAUGUUAAAAGAUGUUUACAAUGUUUACAGGUUCUUCUUCUCUUUGAAACAUGCAUGGAGUUGCCCACUCUCUGCUAUUGGGAAAGAGGGAAGUGAAACAGAAGGUCGGCAACUUCUCUACUAAUUGAAAAGUUAUCCGAUAUCUCAUUUUUUCUGAAAUUUUGUAUAUCUUUCAAGAAAUACCAUCAUCAUAAACAUGUAAAACUCUUCAGGUACUGAAGUCAUUGACAAAUUCCAAGGCAACAUGAAGUGGAAUCAACCAUCGAUAAGAAUUUGGAGUUGCUGUACGACAUGUAAAACUUUUCAUGUGCCUAUUAAUAUAUCGAUGCUGGAUAUGCCAUCUCAAACUUUUGAAAAAAUUGAAUGAGUCCACGGUAAUAGAGGUGCUAACAAAUAUCAACUUUCCUGAAGGUUAAAUUAUCCAAGUUAAUUCUUUUCCAACUUUGGAUACUCUCAUUUUCAUCACUAAUAUCUUCUAAACAUGGUUUCUUUUCUACAGAUGGCACCUUUAAGUUCAUUAACUUUGGUAGACAAGCACAUACUACACCGAGGGCAAUAUCAAGUAUGUCUCCUUUGGAACGCUGAUGCAUAUGGUUAGUGUUCCGAGAAAUUCUAUCUUACCUUUGUUGUGUACGUUUUGUCCAAGUGUGUUAUCUUCAGUUUUAUAAUCAUGUUAAGAGUGAUGUUCAAUAUAUCUAUAUAGAGAGAGAACUGGGUAACUUUUUAGUGCUUUCUGAAAUACAAAUUUGACAAUGUUAGAAUACGAAUGCCGUUGCAGGUAGAAUUAAAUCUAGAGUUAGAGUUAAAAAAUUUACCUACAAAAUUAUUAAAUUAAUUAUGCGAAAACUAUUUAAAAAUAGAGAAGCUUUUAGAAAAAUUAAAGAAUCUUUAAUUAGUAAUUAUUCAGAAUAUAUAAGUCUAAAUAAAACAAAAGAAAACCCACAAAGAUUAGCCUACUUAAUUACAUUAAUAUCUAGUAUUGAAUCAAAACUAAUAAUAAGAAUGAAACACAUACGACCUAAUUAUGAUAAAAUUAGAUUUAGAUAUCCGUCAAGAUAUUAUAAAUAUAAUUUAAAAUGAAUAAAGUACAACAAUACAAAAAACUAAAACAAAUUAUUUCUGAAAAACGUAAAGAAUUAAAAAUAAGAAUAAAAGACUACAUUAUAAUAUAUUUGCCGGAGUUAGUAAAAAUUCAAUAGAUACACAAAAAGAUGAAAUAUCAAAAUUAGAAUCACAAAUAGAUAGUUUAGAAUAUGUAUAUCAACAUGACCUAUUCACAAUAAAAUGAAUAAAGAAGAAUUUAUAAUAGAUGAAAAAAUAUAUGAAAACUACGAAGGAUCAAAAAUAAAAAUAGUAUUUUCUAAUCUAGGACGAAGAUAUAAGAAAAUAGGUGAACAUUUAUAUCUAAUGUUAGAAAAAGAAGAAUUAAAAUUAGAAGAUAAAUUAACAGCAAUGGUAAGAAUAGAAAAAGAAAAUGAAGAGAUAGAUAGGAAAAAAGAAAUAGAAAAAAUAAAACAACAAACUACGGAAGAAAUACGAAAAAUAGAAGAAACCAAAAAUAGUAGAAUUGCUGAAUUAGAAAAAGAAUUACAAAUGUUAAAAGAACUGUAUGAACAAAGACAAAAAGAAAAAGAAGAAAAAGAUAGAGAACAGAAAUUACUAAAUGAGAUAAAUCAAUUUAAGGAAAAAUUAGAAAUAAAAAAUGAAGAAUUAGAAAUAAAUAAUAUAGAUAUUGAAGAGACAGAUAAUUAUGAGUCCGAAGAUAGUGAAACAUACACAGAAAUAUUAACAAAUACAAAAAAUUUAGAAAUCAAUGAAGAACAAAAAAUUAAUGAGGAAAACUUAGAAAAUACCCACACAGAAAUAAAUACUCUUGAUAAAAAAGAAAAUGAAAAUAUAAUACCUAAAACAACAGAAAUAAGAAAACCUAUAUACCAUAAGAAUAAGUUUAAAAAAUAUAAUGAAUAUGAUAAAUGGAUACCAAAACAAAUAGUGAAUAAAAAUUAUAACUUUUUAGAUCUAGACUGUGUAAUAGAUACAGAAAAAACAAUACAAUUAUGGAUAGGAUAUAUGACAAAACAAUUAUUAGAUAAUAAUAUAAAUAUAACAGAUGCACCGGAAUAUAUAGAAAAAACACUAAUAGGAUCAGUAAAACUAUGGUUUGCAAAUCUAACCGAAAAUAGCAAAAAAGUAUUAAGAACUAAUAAACCUAUAGAAGGAACAUCAUCGACAACAACUAAACUAACACCUAUAGAAUUAUUAAAAAAAUAUGAAACAGCUAUAAAAGAUGAAUUUGGUAGUACGACAACAAUCGAAGAAGAACAAAAUGAAGAAAAAGAUACAAAUAGAAAUUUAAUGUUAAAAUUAGCAAUAUGUAAUAUGUGUUAUAUAGAUGAAUAUACUUGCGCAUUUAAAGAAUAUUAUUACAAAGGAGCAUAUAGUAUAGAAGAAAGUAAAGAAAUAAGAAAAUUAUAUUUUAAUAAAUUACCCGAGCCAUUUAGUUCGAAAAUAAUAAAAAGUUGGGAAGAAGCAAAAAUAGUAGAUACGUUAGGAGCAAGAAUAAAAUAUUUACAACAAUGGUAUAGAAACUUAUGUGAAAAAUAUAGAGAAGAAUUAAAAAUGGAAAAAACAUUAAUAAGAAAUUUAGCUUGUUGCAAAAAUAAAAUAGCACCCCAAUUUGGAUGCGAAGAAAGAUAUUAUAAGAAAAGAAAAAGACAUAAGAAAUAUAAGAAAUAUAAAAAAUCAAAAUAUAAAUAUAAAAAACCAAGAAAAAGAUACUAUGUAAAAAAUUAUAAACAUAAAAGACCAUAUAGAAAAAAGAAAUCUAUAAAAGAAUGUACUUGUUAUAAUUGUGGAAAGUUAGGACAUUUAGCUAGAGAUUGUAAAUUACCUAAAAAUCCAAAAAAUAAACAAAUAUCAGAAAUAAAAAUAGAAAAUACCGAAUACAUGCAGAUAGAUUAUAUAGAUUAUGAAUUAGAAAGUGAAGAUAGUAUAUAUGAAAUUUCAGAAAACGAAACAGAUAAUGAAAUAGAUAGCGAAAUAGAUGAAUCAAAUGACUGAAGAAGAUAUAAAAAUAAUAACAAAGGAAGAAUAUUUAAAUGAUGAAGGAACGGAACAAAAAAUAAUAUUUGACAGUAAUAUAUUUGAUGAAAUAAAAGGAAAAGAAUUAGAUUUAAGUGUAGACAAAAUAUUUAAAAUACCAACAAUAAAAAAUAUUUUUACUAGGAAAAAAGAUGAAUAUUAUGUAGUAUGCCAAAAAGAACAUGUAAUAGAUUGCAGAUAUGCAAAAGGAAAAGCUAGUAUACCACUAGUAACAAAAAGAAUAAUUAAUAAAGAAAUAAAUGAUAUAAAAAGUAAAGGAGAUCCAAUAAAAUAUGUACACCUUGGAGGUACAGAGAUAUUAAUAAAAGCAUGUUUUAGAGAAGGAAUAGAUACACCAAUAGAAUUAUAUUUAGCAGACGAUAGAAUUAUAAAACCUAUAGAAAAAAGCAUAAUAACUGCCGUAAAAGGAAAUCUAAUAUACCAAAAAUUUAAAUUUAUAAUAAGUGCAAAUUAUUCAGUAGCAGUAACAGAUAGGAAUAUAGAUAAAUCAUUAGUAUUAUAUUGGAAAAUAUCAGGAAUAGAGUUAACCCCAGGAAGUAAAAUAUUUACAGCAAGAUGUAAAAACCUAUAUGUAUUAACAACAAAACAUAAAAUAACAGGAAAAAAUAAGAUUAACAAAAUACAAAUAGAAAGCCCAUUCGAACAAAUAGUAAAAACAAUAGAUUAUAAUGAUUAUACCUAUAGAGACAUAGAUACAGAAGAAAAUUUAGAAAUAGUAAAUGAUAGAAUAAGUACAACGAAAAGAAUAGCUAAUGAAAAGCCAGAAUCAUCAAGCUCAUCAAAAAGAACAAGUUAUGAAACAAACUCAAUAAGUAAUUUAAACCAAUAUUACAUAACGGGAAAAAUAAAUGAAAAAGAAUAUUUAAUACUUUUGAACACAGGACAAGAAGAAAAUUAUAUAGCAAAAUAUCUAGUAAAAAAUGAAGAAAUAAAAACCGACAAUAAUAUAUGCCCAGACUUACCAAGAAGUUUAAUAAAUAAUAAAAAUCUAGCAGAAAAAGAAAUAAUAUUAGGAGUUAGAAAAAUAAAAAUAGAAUUCGAAGUAAAAGAAGAAAUGCAAAAAGCAGAUAUAAUAUUAGGAAUAAAAUGGUUAGAACAAGUAAAACCAUAUAAUAUAGAACAUACACAAUUAACCUUAACAUAUAACCAAGAAAAGUUAUUCUUAAAAAGAGCCUUAACAUGAAAUGAAGAUACAUGUAUUAAUGAAGAUAGUAGUAGAAGGAUAUUACAGUAGAUAUUAUACGCCUAUGAUAGAUACAGGAGCAGAAGCUAAUUUAUGUAGAUAUAAUUGCUUACCAGAAAGCAAAUGGGAUAAACUAAAAACACCAAUAAUAGUUAAAGGAUUUAAUAAUGAAGGAAGCUUAAUUACUUAUAAAGCUAGGAAUGUAAAAAUACAAGUAUGGGAUAAGAUAUUAACAAUAGAAGAAAUUUAUAACUAUGAAUUAACAUCAAAAGAUAUACUUUUAGGAAUGCCAUUUUUAGAUAAAUUAUACCCACAUAUAAUAACUAAAACAGACUGGUGGUUUACAACACCAUGCAAACAAAAAGUAAGAGCAAAAAGAGUUAAUAAUAAAAUAAGAAAGAAAACUGAUUGGAUAAAAGGAAGUGAAAAAAUUACACAAAAGUUAGAAAAUAUAAACAAUACUGAAGAUACAGUAGAACUAGUAGUAUUUUCGAUAAAUAAAACAGAAAUAACUAUAUUUUCAAUAAAUAAAAUAGAAAUAAUUCAGAAAAAAUUAGAACAAUUAUAUAGUGAAGAUCCAUUAAAAGGAUGGGAAAAACACAAAACUACUAUAAAAAUUGAAUUAAUAGAUAAGAAUAGCAUAAUAACACAAAAACCAUUAACAUAUAAUUUUGAUGAUUUAAAAGAAUUUAAAAUGCACAUAGAUGAAUUAUUAGAAAAACAAUAUAUACAAAAAAGUAAUAGUAAACAUAAUAGUCCAGCAUUUAUAGUAAAUAAACAUAGUGAACAAAAAAGAGGAAAAAGUAGGAUGGUUAUUGACUAUAGAAAUUUAAAUGCAAAAACUAUAACAUAUAAUUAUCCGAUACCAAAUAAGAUAUUAAAAAUAAGACAAAUCCAAGGAUAUAAUUAUUUUAGCAAAUUUGAUUGUAAAUCAGGAUUUUACCACCUAAAGCUAGAAGAAGAAUCUAAAGAAUUAACCGCAUUUACGGUACCACAAGGAUUUUAUGAAUGGAACGUGUUACCAUUUGGAUAUAAAAAUGCACCAGGUAGAUAUCAACAUUUUAUGGAUAAUUAUUUUAAACAAUUAUCUAAUUGUAUAGUAUACAUAGAUGAUAUAUUAUUAUACACCAAAACCAAAGAAGAACAUUUAAAAUUAUUAGAACAAUUCACAGAUAUAAUAGAAAAAUCAGGAAUAAGUCUAAGCAAAAAGAAAGCUGAAAUUAUGAAAAACCAGAUAGAAUUUUUAGGAAUACAAAUAGAUAAAAGUGGAGUAAAAAUGCAACAACAUAUAGUACAAAAAAUAAUAAAUUCGAAAGAAGAAUUAGAUACAAAAAAGAAAUUACAAUCAUUUUUAGGAUUAGUAAACCAAGUAAGAGAAUAUAUUCCAAAAUUAGCAGAAACCUUAAAACCACUGCAGAAAAAAUUAAAAAAGGAUAUAGAAUAUAAUUAUGAUGAAAAAGAUAAAAAACAAGUUCAAAAAAUAAAAUUACUUUGUAGAGAAUUACCAAAAUUGCAAUUUCCAGAUGAAAAUAGAAAAUUUAUAUAUAUAGUAGAAGCAGAUGCAAGUGAAUAUAGUUACGGAGGAGUACUUAAAUAUCGAUAUGAAGCAGAAAAAAUAGAACACCAUUGUAGAUACUACUCAGGUACGUUCAACGAGACAGAAAUAAAAUGGGAAAUAAAUAGGAAAGAAUUAUGUUCAUUAUAUAAAUGUUUAUUAGCAUUUGAGCCAUAUAUUGUAUAUAACAAAUUUAUUGUACGAACAGAUAAUACACAGGUACGCUGGUGGUUAACAAAGAAAAUACAAAAUUCAGUUACAACAAAAGAGAUUCGAAGACUAGUUUUAAAUAUAUUAAAUUUCACAUUUACAAUUGAAGUGAUCAGUACUAACAAAAAUGUUAUUGCAGAUUACAUAUCAAGACAAAGCUACACAGACUGAAAUAGUAGAGGAAGAUACUCUAGAAAAAAUACUUAACACCCUAACUACGCUUUCAAUGAAAGUGGACAGUAUGGGUAAUGAGAUAGAAAAGCUAAAGACUAAUGAAGAUAAACUGAAGUCUAUAGCUACAAAUCAGCUAACUCAGCAAUGUGCAGAGCUAUGUCGAUCGAAAGACAUUAAAAAUCCAGAGCUAGAAGGAGACGUUGGGACACUCCAUAAAACCCAUAACAUUUAUCAAUCUACUUCUGCAGGUACAAGCAAAGGAGUUAAUAGACCAAGAUACCAGAAUGUAAAUAUGAACAAAAUAUUUGAAAAACCAUUUACCCCAAAAGCACAAAAAGACCAUUUAUUCAUACCCCCACAAGUUAACACAUACCGAGACAGCCUAAACCAAGACAAGAAAAUAUACAACUACACAGCCCAAAAAUACAUAGAAAAUAUAUAUAGAGUCCAAACCUUUCUAAACCAUAACCCCAGAGCUACAAAUAUCCAAGAACCAAAUACCAAUUAUAUAACCCAAAAACUACAAGGAUACAAUAAACUGAUAGCACUACCCAAAACUAACCCAAGCCUAGUUAAAACUUGUUUUGACUAUGGACUACUAAAUACCAUAUACACCCAAGACGGAGAAGAGCUAACAGCUAUGGAGGAAUUAUACAAGAUAUUCACUACCUACAAAAGAAUAACAAAAGGAAAUUUAUUUUAUAUAAAGUGUUAUACUGCACCAGCAGAGAUAUUAUAUGACGAAAUAAAACCAGUUAUACAAGUUGUAAAGAUAGGAUUAACAAGAGAUAUGAUUAUACCAGAAGAUAUUUCGCAACAACCGGAGAUACCUAGAAUCGAGAUACCAGAUUUUUAUGCAAAUAAAAGACUUAUUGGACUAGCUACGAUCAUUCAAGAACUAGCAAAUAACUAUGCUAACGGAAACCCAAUAUGGAGCUACUAUUCAAGAGAUCACCAAAUGAUAUAUUCAAAUUCAAAAGAGCUACGACAAGCAGAUAUGGAAGACGUAAGACAAUGGAUACUGACGCUACUUAACCCAGAAAAAAAAAUCUACCGCGCGAGCAAUGAAAAAGGGAUUUAUUUCAGACGGACUGCUAACAAGAUACUGUAAGAUAAUCGGACAUAAAUAUCCAGACCACCAAUGUUCAAGUUCUACUAUAUAUAUAAAUUUUCUAUUUUCAUCUGGAAAUUGCAAUUUUGGUAAUUCUCUACAAAGUAAUUUUAUUUUUUGAACUUGUUUUUUAUCUUUUUCAUCAUAAUUAUAUUCUAUAUCCUUUUUUAAUUUUUUCUGCAGUGGUUUUAAGGUUUCUGCUAAUUUUGGAAUAUAUUCUCUUACUUGGUUUACUAAUCCUAAAAAUGAUUGUAAUUUCUUUUUUGUAUCUAAUUCUUCUUUCGAAUUUAUUAUUUUUUGUACUAUAUGUUGUUGCAUUUUUACUCCACUUUUAUCUAUUUGUAUUCCUAAAAAUUCUAUCUGGUUUUUCAUAAUUUCAGCUUUCUUUUUGCUUAGACUUAUUCCUGAUUUUUCUAUUAUAUCUGUGAAUUGUUCUAAUAAUUUUAAAUGUUCUUCUUUGGUUUUGGUGUAUAAUAAUAUAUCAUCUAUGUAUACUAUACAAUUAGAUAAUUGUUUAAAAUAAUUAUCCAUAAAAUGUUGAUAUCUACCUGGUGCAUUUUUAUAUCCAAAUGGUAACACGUUCCAUUCAUAAAAUCCUUGUGGUACCGUAAAUGCGGUUAAUUCUUUAGAUUCUUCUUCUAGCUUUAGGUGGUAAAAUCCUGAUUUACAAUCAAAUUUGCUAAAAUAAUUAUAUCCUUGGAUUUGUCUUAUUUUUAAUAUCUUAUUUGGUAUCGGAUAAUUAUAUGUUAUAGUUUUUGCAUUUAAAUUUCUAUAGUCAAUAACCAUCCUACUUUUUCCUCUUUUUUGUUCACUAUGUUUAUUUACUAUAAAUGCUGGACUAUUAUGUUUACUAUUACUUUUUUGUAUAUAUUGUUUUUCUAAUAAUUCAUCUAUGUGCAUUUUAAAUUCUUUUAAAUCAUCAAAAUUAUAUGUUAAUGGUUUUUGUGUUAUUAUGCUAUUCUUAUCUAUUAAUUCAAUUUUUAUAGUAGUUUUGUGUUUUUCCCAUCCUUUUAAUGGAUCUUCACUAUAUAAUUGUUCUAAUUUUUUCUGAAUUAUUUCUAUUUUAUUUAUUGAAAAUAUAGUUAUUUCUGUUUUAUUUAUCGAAAAUACUACUAGUUCUACUGUAUCUUCAGUAUUGUUUAUAUUUUCUAACUUUUGUGUAAUUUUUUCACUUCCUUUUAUCCAAUCAGUUUUCUUUCUUAUUUUAUUAUUAACUCUUUUUGCUCUUACUUUUUGUUUGCAUGGUGUUGUAAACCACCAGUCUGUUUUAGUUAUUAUAUGUGGGUAUAAUUUAUCUAAAAAUGGCAUUCCUAAAAGUAUAUCUUUUGAUGUUAAUUCAUAGUUAUAAAUUUCUUCUAUUGUUAAUAUCUUAUCCCAUACUUGUAUUUUUACAUUCCUAGCUUUAUAAGUAAUUAAGCUUCCUUCAUUAUUAAAUCCUUUAACUAUUAUUGGUGUUUUUAGUUUAUCCCAUUUGCUUUCUGGUAAGCAAUUAUAUCUACAUAAAUUAGCUUCUGCUCCUGUAUCUAUCAUAGGCGUAUAAUAUCUACUGUAAUAUCCUUCUACUACUAUCUUCAUUAAUACAUGUAUCUUCAUUUCAUGUUAAGGCUCUUUUUAAGAAUAACUUUUCUUGGUUAUAUGUUAAGGUUAAUUGUGUAUGUUCUAUAUUAUAUGGUUUUACUUGUUCUAACCAUUUUAUUCCUAAUAUUAUAUCUGCUUUUUGCAUUUCUUCUUUUACUUCGAAUUCUAUUUUUAUUUUUCUAACUCCUAAUAUUAUUUCUUUUUCUGCUAGAUUUUUAUUAUUUAUUAAACUUCUUGGUAAGUCUGGGCAUAUAUUAUUGUCGGUUUUUAUUUCUUCAUUUUUUACUAGAUAUUUUGCUAUAUGAUUUUCUUCUUGUCCUGUAUUCAAAAGUAUUAAAUAUUCUUUUUCAUUUAUUUUUCCCGUUAUGUAAUAUUGGUUUAAAUUACUUAUUGAGUUUGUUUCAUAACUUGUUCUUUUUGAUGAGCUUGAUGAUUCUGGCUUUUCAUUAGCUAUUCUUUUCGUUGUACUUAUUCUAUCAUUUACUAUUUCUAAAUUUUCUUCUGUAUCUAUGUCUCUAUAGGUAUAAUCAUUAUAAUCUAUUGUUUUUACUAUUUGUUCGAAUGGGCUUUCUAUUUGUAUUUUGUUAAUCUUAUUUUUUCCUGUUAUUUUAUGUUUUGUUGUUAAUACAUAUAGAUUUUUACAUCUUGCUGUAAAUAUUUUACUUCCUGGGGUUAAUUCUAUUCCUGAUAUUUUCCAAUAUAAUACUAAUGAUUUAUCUAUAUUCCUAUCUGUUACUGCUACUGAAUAAUUUGCACUUAUUAUAAAUUUAAAUUUUUGGUAUAUUAGAUUUCCUUUUACGGCAGUUAUUAUGCUUUUUUCUAUAGGUUUUAUAAUUCUAUCGUCUGCUAAAUAUAAUUCUAUUGGUGUAUCUAUUCCUUCUCUAAAACAUGCUUUUAUUAAUAUCUCUGUACCUCCAAGGUGUACAUAUUUUAUUGGAUCUCCUUUACUUUUUAUAUCAUUUAUUUCUUUAUUAAUUAUUCUUUUUGUUACUAGUGGUAUACUAGCUUUUCCUUUUGCAUAUCUGCAGUCUAUUACAUGUUCUUUUUGGCAUACUACAUAAUAUUCAUCUUUUUUCCUAGUAAAAAUAUUUUUUAUUGUUGGUAUUUUAAAUAUUUUUUCUACACUUAAAUCUAAUUCUUUUCCUUUUAUUUCAUCAAAUAUGUUACUGUCAAAUAUUAUUUUUUGUUCCGUUCCUUCAUCAUUUAAAUAUUCUUCCUUUGUUAUUAUUUUUAUAUCUUCUUCAGUCAUUUGAUUCAUCUAUUUCACUAUCUAUUUCAUUAUCUGUUUCGUUUUCUGAAAUUUCAUAUAUACUAUCCUCACUUUCUAAUUCAUAAUCUAUAUAAUCUAUCUGCAUAUAUUCUGUAUUAUCUAUUUUUAUUUCUGAUAUUUAUUUAUUUUUUGGAUUUUUAGGUAAUUUACAGUCUCUAGCUAAAUGUCCUAACUUUCCACAGUUAUAACAAGCACAUUCUUUUAUAGAUUUCUUCUUUCUGUAUGGUCUUUUAUGCUUAUAAUUUUUUACAUAAUAUCUUUUUCUUGGUUUNNNNNNNNNNNNNNNNNNNNNNNNNNNNNNNNNNNNNNNNNNNNNNNNNNNNNNNNNNNNNNNNNNNNNNNNNNNNNNNNNNNNNNNNNNNNNNNNNNNNNNNNNNNNNNNNNNNNNNNNNNNNNNNNNNNNNNNNNNNNNNNNNNNNNNNNNNNNNNNNNNNNNNNNNNNNNNNNNNNNNNNNNNNNNNNNNNNNNNNNNNNNNNNNNNNNNNNNNNNNNNNNNNNNNNNNNNNNNNNNNNNNNNNNNNNNNNNNNNNNNNNNNNNNNNNNNNNNNNNNNNNNNNNNNNNNNNNNNNNNNNNNNNNNNUAAUAAUUUUUUUGUCAUAUAUCCUAUCCAUAAUUGUAUUUUUUUUUCUGUAUCUAUUACACAGUCUAGGUCUAAAAAGUUAUAAUUUUUAUUCACUAUUUGUUUUGGUAUCCAUUUGUCAAAUUAAUUAUUUUUUUUAAACUUAUUCUUAUAAUAUAUAGUAUUCUUAUUUCUAUUGUUUCAGGUAUUAUAUUUUCAUUUUCUUUUUUAUCAAGAGUAUUUAUUUCCGUGUGGGUAUUUUCUAAAUUUUCCUCACUAAUUUCUUUUUCAUUGAUUUCUAAAAUUUUUGUAUUUAUUAAUAUUUCUGUAUAUGUUUCACUAUCUUCGGAAUCAUAAUUAUCUGUCUCUGUCUCUUCAAUAUCUAUAUUAUUUAUUUCUAAUUCUUCGUUUUUUAUUUCUAAUUUUUUCUUAAAUUGAUUUAUUUCGUUCAGUGUCUUUGUUCAUACAGUUCUUUUAACAUUUGUAAUUCUUUUUCUAAUUCAGCAAUUCUACUAUUUUUGGUUUCUUCUAUUUUUCGUAUUUCUUCCGUAGUUUGUUGUUUUAUUUUUUCUAUUUCUUUUUUCCUAUCUAUCUCUUCAUUUUCUUUUUCUAUUCUUACCAUUGCUGUUAAUUUAUCUUCUAAUUUUAAUUCUUCUUUUUCUAACAUUAGAUAUAAAUGUUCACCUAUUUUCUUAUAUCUUCGUCCUAGAUUAGAAAAUACUAUUUUUAUUUUUGAUCCUUCGUAGUUUUCAUAUAUUUUUUCAUCUAUUAUAAAUUCUUCUUUAUUCAUUUUAUUGUGAAUAGGUCAUGUUGAUAUACAUAUUCUAAACUAUCUAUUUGUGAUUCUAAUUUUGAUAUUUCAUCUUUUUGUGUAUCUAUUGAGUUUUUACUAACUCCGGCAAAUAUAUUAUAAUGUAGUGUUUUUAUUCUUAUUUUUAAUUCUUUACAUUUUUCAGAAAUAAUUUGUUUUAGUUUUUUGUAUUGUUGUACUUUAUUCAUUUUAAAUUAUAUUUAUAAUAUCUUGACGGAUAUCUAAAUCUAAUUUUAUCAUAAUUAGGUGGUAUGUGUUUCAAUCUUCUAGAUUUUAAAUGGAUUAUUAGUUUUGAUUCAAUACUAGAUAUUAAUGUAAUUAAGUAGGCUAAUCUUUGUGGGUUUUUUUUUGUUUUAUUUAGACUUAUAUAUUCUGAAUAAUUACUAAUUAAAGAUUCUUUAAUUUUUCUAAAAGCUUCUCUAUUUUUAAAUGGUCUUCGCAUAAUUAAUUUAAUAAUUUUGUAGGUAAAUUUUUUAACUCUAACUCUAGAUCUAAUUCUAAUUCUAACAUAUAUUUCUCUUCCGUACUUUUUAAAUUGCUGGGCUCUGAUACCAUUUGUAGGGGGUGCGGAUAUUUAAUAGAUUUAUUAAAUACACACUCCACUUUCUUUCUUGUGUGUGUUUUGUACCAUUAAUUUAACAUCAUCGAAGAGUGUGUUAUAAACUCUCUUAUUUUGAUUUUCUAGUUCGUUUUUCUAUGUGCAUAUUAGGGAAGGGUGUGUCCCCUCGUUACGAUUAGUAAGGCAAGAUUUUGCUAGACUUGUACUUUCUUUAUUACUCCCUCAGUCUCAUUUUGCUUUGGCCCUUUUCAGAAAAUAGUUUGUUUCAAUUCAUUUGUCCAUUUAUGAAAUCAAGAUAAGUUUGUAGUUCUUCCAACACUAUCUUUAGUGGAAUAAACCCUAAUAAAUAUUUUCUCAAGGGAAAUGUUAAGUUAAACAUGACCAUGUAAAAUGAAAUGGAGGGAGUAUUAAUAAAACUCCGCCCAAGCACAUUGCCAAGCUUAAAAAAGCAUUUCAAAUCUUCCAAAGGAAAUAUGCCAUGAAUUAAACGAUUUAACUCAAGAAAUUUUUACUGUUCCACAUAGAUUGAGAUAGAGGAAAUAUGCAAUAGCAUAGAGGCAAUAAUUAUCACACCCCAAGUAGCACGAGAAAAUUGAAGAAAAGGUGUCAUUUAAGUUUUGAAUGAAGUAUUGAUGACAUUGACCAACUUAAAGGUCAAACAUAAUUAAGUUAAUUCUGGACUUGAUUAAUAUUUUUUUAAAUUUUCUAAUCUUUUAAAAAAUACAUAUCAACCCACACGCCUCUCCUCUACAAAUCAACUGUAUCUCUCCUCUCUCUCGAUAGUUUCUCCCAACCAACAGUUCUGCAAAUUUCUCUUUUCAAUCCUUGGCGACUUCAACCUUCGGCGACAAAUAGUUGGGCUUCGAGUUUUUUUCCACUUUCAACCGUCACUCGACGUGACAACCUUGCUCUCUGCCCACAACAACUUCAAAUUCUUCAUCGUCUCUUUUCUUCUUUCGGUAAAAAAUUAUGGCUUUUUAGUUUUGAAGAAAAUAUGGAACUUGAGCAAACUUCUAUUCUAGUAUUGAUUAACAAUUUCAAUAUUUGUUGCUUUAAUUUGAAAUACGGUCUGAAUAAAAUCCUAAUUUUUUAAAUUUUUCUCUUCUCUUUUCGGAGUGAAAUAUGAUUUUUUGUUGUUUGUUGUAUUUUUUUGAAGUUUGAUUUUUGUUGUUUGUGUUUGUACAAAUAAAACAACAAUGUUGGUAUUUUUGGUGUUGCUCCCAUUGCUGAGUUGAUUUAUUUUUGUUCUUGGUAAAAAUGAUGAUAUUGUUGUUGUUCUAUUGAACAAAAUCAUGCUACUAUUUUUUCUACAAUAGAUUAACCUUCUGAUGCAACAGAUUAACCAUCUGAUGCAACAGAUUUACUAUUAGAUGCAACAGAGGAACCAUCGGAUUAAAAAUAUGAUGCAAUAGAUUAACCAUCUGACGCAACAGAUUUACCAUCGGAUUAAUCUGAUACAACAUAUUAACCAUAUGAUGCAACAGAUUAACCAUCUGAUGCAAUAAAUUUGCCAUCAGAUGCAACAGAGAAAUCAUCCGAUUAAAAAUCUGAUGCAACAGAUUAAUCAUCAGAUGCAAUAGAGGAACCAUCUGAUUAAAAAUCUGAUACAACAAAUUUACCAACUGAUGUAAUGGAGGAACCAUCGAAUUAAAAAUCUAGUACAAUAGAUUAAUCAUCUGAUGCAAUAGAUGAACCUUCUGUUGGAUAAAAUCCUAUAAACUAUUACAACAGUAUAUAUCCAAGACUUGAUUUUUCCAAUUGAUCAUUCAUCUGUCGCAAUAGACGACCCUUUUGUUGGAAGAAAUCUAAACAAUAUUGACCCUUGAUAAUAAUUCCAAUAGAUCACUCAUAUAUUGCAAUAGAUGAGUGAUCUAUUGUACUGACCAAUCAUCUAUUUCAACAGAUGAAUGAUCUGUUUUUAAUUAUUGUAUCAGGUUAGUUAUAUGUUGCAACAGAUAACUCAUAUGUUGCAACAUAUGUGUGAUCUGUUGCACAAAUUAGUCAUCUGUUUUAAUAGAUGAGUGAUUUGUUUUUAUUGUUACAACAAAUUACUCAUUAGUUGUAACAUGUUAGUUAUAUGUUACAACAAAUAACCUGCCUGGUGCAAAAGAUGUGUGAUUUAUUAGGACUGUUAUUUUACUGUUGUAUAGUUAGAUAUACUAUUAUUCCUUUUUAAUGAUGCAUUAAUUAAUUAUAAUCUAUUUUAUGUUCCUGUUAUUUUUAGAUUAUAUGGCUCCCAAAAGCAAAGAAACUGAAUCAAGUUCAAAUAAAGAAACAAGUGAGGCAGCUAGGCUACAUCCACCACUCUAUGAGUUUUCUUUACAAGUGUUAUAUCAAUCAGAAGCUGAAGAUAAUGAACAUGGGGAGGAGGAAUGUUUCAAAAGAGACAAUCUAAAUGCUAAUAGCCCUUCCAUCAAAGAGUUGAUCAAAACCUUCAGCAUUGAUAGUUAUCCUAUGAGAAUGCAGUGCGAUAGUGUCGCAGAUUUAAUGGGUGAUUUCGUGGUUAAGUCAGCCAUGGAAAAAUCUUUGACGCCUUCAGAAAAAUACUUUGAGAACAAAAUUUGGAUACUUAUUCAGAGAAAAUUGCUUUGGGCAAUAUCUUAAUUUACCAGAGGACAACAAUGCUCAUUUCUAAAUAAAAAUGGUAUAUGAUCUUCUCAAGCGUAGGUUUAUGUAUGAAAACAAAGAUAAGAUGGAUUAGGUGUGGAUAUAUUACUGUGGCAUGCCUGCUUGUUUUGGUUGGAAGAAGUUUGCAAUAGUUACUGGACUAAAAUGUUAUUGUCCUUCUCCUUCUCAAGUUAUACCUAUUCUAACUCAAAAAGAGCACCCCGCACACCCAAAAAAGGUAAAUUCAAGUCGAGUGAUCAUGAAGAAGACAUGGUGGCCCUUGUUGGUCCAACCUUCAAAAUUUUUUUUUUUUAUAGAAGCAUUGAAAGGUAAACGACUUUAAAGAAGCACAAAUAAUCAUUGUGCUUGGUUUGGUUUGUACAUAAUAUUCUUUGGGUGAGAGAUGUUAACAACAACAUACCACAUAGUUUAAUAAAGCUCUCCGAGGAUCUUGAGGAAUUUAACAACUAUCUUUAAGGUUAUGAAAGCAUCAAAAUAACUAUCAAAUAUUUAUUGACUCUGUUAACGCCAAAGACAAUCAACUUAUAAUUUAUUUUUUUAUUUAAUAAUACUUUUGAUUUAUUGGCGUUAUUUUAUAGAUUUGGGCGUUUGAAGCCAUUCGAGACAAUAAGUGAACUACCAGGAAGAAGUGUCUGUCCAAGAAUCCUGAGAUGGUUUUUGGUCAAAACUGAUAAAAAUGUAAAAUUUCUUGAUCGCUUCAAUCCCCUGAAGGAUGCAGUAAGUCUAAUUCUAGUUAAGCUUAUUUUUUAAUUAAUAAUUUUUUUGAAUGAUCUAAUCAUCAUUCUAAUAUAUGUACUGAUUUAUGUUAGAUUGUUUAUCCGUUGCUUGUUCUGACCAAUUGAGAGUUGAAGAUGUCAUUUUUUCUUACUUUACAGUUUGUUCAACCUUUAUCAGACCCUAAGGUCAUUGGCAAGAUAAAAAAGGAAUUGUUUGAAGCAACAACCAUCACAAGAAAAAUAAUUUUGGAGGGUAGACUUAUUGUUGUUGAUGGUGGUAGUGGUAGUGGUGCUGCUGUCGGGGCUGAUGAUGCCUUUCUUACAGUUUUUGAAACAAAAAACCAUUAUAAUUAUGAUCAUACUGGUUAUAUAGAUUUUGCCCCUUCUGUUGAAUGUUCUGCAUACAAAUGUUAAGACUGUAAGACAAAACAUGAUGGAGUGACUGAUACUAUUAAUGCAUUAACUGCUUCUGUAAAGAAAUUGACAUCUAAGAGGGGUGUCAUUCCAUCAAAGAGGAUUUCAUAUCCGGUCCACUAAAGAUUAAGGUGGCUAAAAGGAGAAGAAAAAAAAUUUCUCAGCCAUCAUCAAACAUCAAAAAAAGCAAAAUUGUAACUUUUUUAUCUUUGUCUUGCACCUUUGAUCAAUGUACAAGGGCAACAAGAGAGUAGCAUGGGCUGAAGAAGGUAAAUGUAUAUCAUUUGUUCCAAUAAACAAACAGAGAUAUAUCUAUUUCAACAGAUGAUAUAUUUGCUAAAAAUUAUCAAACAAAUAUAUACAUUUGUUGCAACAGUUGUCUAACCUGUUGCAUCGGAUGCAUUGUCUGUUGCAACAGUUGUCUUAUCAGUUGCAUCAGAUGCGUUAUUUGUUGUAAUAUAUGCCCGUCUAUUUCAGCAAAUCAAAAAGGUCUUUAUACUAUUUUAAUUUAUACUAACAAAUGAGUCAUAUAUUGCAACAGUUGGGUCAUCUGUUGGAAAUUAUUGUACAAUAUUUUUUUUACCUAUUCGAAUCUGUCUCAACAGAUUAUUCAUCUGUUGCAAUACAUAGAUAAUCUGUUGUAUAUCUGUGAUUAGCAUUGAUAAUUCUGGAUUUCCAGAUAGAUGUCAUAGUAGAAGCUACUGCUGAACAACAUAAUAUCAUAUUUGAUAAUCCAUCAACUACUUUCAAAGAAGAAGAAAAAGUGAAACCUGUCAGUUCGGGAGAACAGAAGAAUUACCCGUUUGAAGGGUCCAGCAUCUCAGAUGAGGCUCCAAAAAAACUAACAAAGUUGAUCAACGACUAUUCAGAAUGGAUUGUCGAUGAGCUGUUAAAGCAUCAUACCGGCAGGUACAUAAAUCAUUUAUUAAGAUAUUGAUUUUUACAAUUCUUGACGUAAAAACAUGAUAUUAACACAUAUAAAUCAUGUAGAAAAUAAAAUGACAAGCACUACAAAGUGAACGAAUCGGAUCUUAGUUUUGAUAUGUUCGAAUUUGUUGUUACACAUCCCGAAAUGAAGGAUUGGUUCUAUUUGAUGUCACAACCCUAAACUUUCUAGAAUGAUGAGGUUUAAAUGCCAUAUAUAUUACUAUUAAUUAAUACUUUAUUUAAUUGUAUCUAUGUAUUAAUUUUGUUGUCACGUAAUCUGAAAUAUUUGAUAAUAUAUGCAGUACAUCAUUGUCAUUUUUUACUACCUCCGAAAGAAGGCCAAGUUGCAAACACACGAAUAAUACAAAUAAAUGUCGGACAAUUAUUUGUACAAAGUUUAUAUCAAUAAUGCCUGCGAUAGGUAUUGUCAACAAUAGUCGAAAUUUUUCUAAAUUGAUGAAUACUUGAUCAACAUCAUCAAAGGUUUUAGCAUUACAGUUGGCUUACUUUGUCCUUUGGUCGACGUAGUGCAUAUCCCAAUUAAUUGUGGUAAUGAAUGUCAUUGGGUGUUGGCUGUCGUCACUCUAAAAGAGAGGUUCAUCUUAGUUUAUGGCUCGAUGUCAGGAAUAGAGACGUUCCGGGCUGUCAUCUGAGAUACAAAAGAUGGCCAAAAUAUUGCCUACUUAUCUUGAUAUAAGUGUCUUUUUAGACCAAAAGGUUCGUACUGAUUGGUUGACGAUUGAAGCAUACUCAGAUAAAAUGGGUAAUCUAUUUGAUGUAGAAUAUGUUGAUGAAAUUGCUCAACAACCCAUUGGUAGCCUGUAAGUAUUUUUAUUUUGUUUCAUUUCAUAAAUUUCACAAUGCUUACAUUAAAUUCAAGAUAUGGAUUAUCUAAUUUUUACAAUAGCAGGGAUUGCGGUCUUUUUGUUGUCGCUUACGCUGAGUAUUUGAGCGAUGGAUUACAAGUACCAAAUGAUGAACUUGAUGUUGUAUUACUACAUAAAAGAUAUGCUACUCUUUUAUGAAAAUACAGAAAAGAGAAAGCUCAGAAAGCAUAUGCAAGAGACAUUAAAGAUCCACGAUGACCAAAGUCGAAUUCCAUAGUACCAGAUGAAGAACAACUUAUCCAUAUUGAGUAGAUCAUCUGUACCCAUAAUAAUUUUUUAUAUUUCAUUUAUUUGUUGAAUUAUUUCAUGUAAUUUCUGUAGGCUUUGAUUUAUUUUAUGUUAUCUAUGAAUUUAAUUUAAUCCUUAGAUUUGAACUUAUUAAUUGAAAUGAGAUACUAGAUUCAAAUAUCGCAAAAGAUAAUGCAUCUGUUACAACAGAUAAUUGAUCUGUUGCAAUAGAAGAAAUACCUUUUGGAAAUUAUCAAAUAGAUUUAGACAUAUAUUACAAUAUGUAGGUCAUCUGUUGGAAAUUAUCAAACAGGUCUUCAUACUAUUUUGAUGUGUUCCAAUAGAUUACCUAUCAGUUGCAACAGAUAGACUAUAUAUUGUAAUAAUUGUGUAUCUAUUGCAAUAUAUAGACUUAAAAACAUCUGUAUAGUGCAAAAAAUGACCAAUCCAUUGUAACAGAUAAUUAAUCUUUCAGAAUAGAUAGACUAUCUAUUACAACAGAUAGACAAUCUAUUGCAUUAUAAUAAAUUCAACUUUCAUCAAACUUAAAAAAUUGUCACUACAUGUAAAGUGAAGUGGCUUGAAAUAAAAAAUGUUAUGUUAUUUGUGUUUAUACAUCUUUGUGAUACCCCGUACUAAUCCUAGCUCGAUUCAGCUUUUAGUUGCAUGCUUAAGGGGCUCAAGGCUUAAAAUUUUCACUAAGUGGUUGGGACUUAGUCAUUUUCAAGACCCCUAAACUUCGAGGAUUUUUAUUUUGGUCUUUCCGAUCCUGAGACAUUAGUUUUUGAGUUAAUUCAUUUUCAAGUACUUAGGGAGUUUUGUAUUUUUCGGACAAGGUUUGGGUAACGUUUGGAUCACGAAUCCAAUAAGUCACCGCGAUAGGGCCGCGUCGCGAUGACAUUUCCUUUGGCACGUACAUCGCAUCUCGGUUAAGGUGUUUUCAUCUAGUUCUUGAUUUAUAAUUUGAAUGCAUGUGUCUUGAUCUUCAUCCUAGUGUGUGAAGUGCUUAUGAGGUGAAAAAUGUUCAUAGAAAUGACUUAGAACAAAGUUGAGUUAAAUGUCUUUGAUUCGCCCAAAGUUUCGUAUUGAUUCUACAAAGAUCAACUUUGAAUGUGUAUAAUAUUUAAUAUAUGUGGAAAUUUUUAGAUCAAGAUCCACAAAAUUGUAUAUAAUUGAAUUAGCUUUCCAACUAUAUCAAUAUCACCUUAAUCCGAUACCCGAGCAAAAGGUUGUGAUAAUUUUCGUCAAAACCAAUAAGCCACCGUGAUAAGACCGCAUCGUGAUGAGCCUUUAAUUAGCAUUCCAGUUACGAAUUUUUGGUUUAAAUAAUGGAGGAGAAAUUGGAUUUUUUACCACAUCGACCCAAUUCGUAAAGCAGGACCUAAAGCUUCAGUUAGGGCAUUAUUUGCCCAAAUUCUCCAAUUUCCUCUUAAUAAAAAACCCUAAUCAUCCCCAAGUUCAUCAAAAUCAAUUCCUUUCUCUCCAAGAAAACCAAGAAAUCAAGUUGCCAAAUCCAAGAACCUUCAAGGAAGCUUACAGAUUUGUGUUUCUCUUUCUUGAUUAAAAGUUUAAGGGAUGUUUGAUGUUCAUCCAUGGGUCCUUUUCACCCAUGGAGUCCAAGAACCUAUUUUUAUAUUUUAAUUCAUGAAAUUUACAUGUUUAUAAUGAGUUAUCUUUAUGAAGCUUUUAUGAAUUUUGAUUAUACAUGAUGUUUACAAGUGAUUUUCGUUGAAAGUAGCCCUUACAUAUUUGAAUAAAGAAAAUUCCAUGUGAAAUCCCCAAUUUAUGAUUUUAGUGUUAUAAUUUUGUUAUUUACACAUGUUUCAAUCAUUUUCAUACUUAAGUCCAUGAAUUUCAAUUGUUUGAUAAAAUGCCUAAGAGAUGAAUUUUGAACUAUGAUCCCUUAUUAUGUUCUUCAAAGAUUUCACGUGUCUAUAUUGUUAAUUCCAUUCAGUGCUAGGGGUUAUGAAUACCCGAAACUUAGCUGUACUUAGUCUUAGUAUCUUGCAGAAUAGUUUCAAAUAUGUAUGAGCAUUAUUCAUUCAGUCAGAUAUUAUAAUCAGUUAAAAUUAGAUUAGUUCAGUAAUCCGAGUCUAUUCAGUUGGGAGUAGGAUUUAGCACUGAGCGAACCCAGGGAUGGAGGCUCACCUGCCAGUAGAGGGUGUGACCUUUAGCAGUAGUCCCUUGGUUCUAGAACUAUAUAGCCAGCAUAGGUUAGAGAUAUCAACCUACCAGUUGAGGGUUGAUAAAGUUUUUACCCACCAAUUGAGGGCAACACGUUUCUCAUUAGAGUACCUGCCAGUUGAGGGUUACUCUUUGGUGGAUCCACAUAGCUUUUGCUAGUACUUGUGGCACGGUAUUAACACCCUUCCAACUGGGGUCACAGGUUAGACCCCAAUCAGCUCAGAUUGAGGCAUAUUGUUUAGAUGAUACCUCCCAUAGUCUCAGCUCAGCACUCCGUAUAGAAUUUAGUUUCAGGUUUGUUUAACCAUAACAUACAAUCAUUAGUUAUUUAGUUAUCAAUAUUUUGGUAUUUUCAGUUUACUAAUUAUUUUAAAAUCAUAUUAUAUACUUGGUCAUGCAUUCACUAAUUUCACAAUUUUCAUGUAUUUAUAUUCAGCUACUUCAUGCUAUUCAUUCAGUUAGUUAUUAUUCAUGCACACGAACCCCUGCAUAUAGGCCUAACCUCAUCUGUCAUACCAGUAUAUUCAAAGUUCUUAUCGCAUGCUCUUUUCUUGCACUAUGAUGUUUAAUAUCAUAGGUUCGGAUGCUCAGGAUCCUGACCGUGCGUAAAUAGUUCAGUCUAUCAGCAGUAGUAGAACUGGUGAGUCCUCAUAUAUCUAGGACAUGGUAGCUUGUUUUAGUUUACUUCAGUAUUUUCUUUCAAUUUGUCAAUUGGAGUUAGUUAGGGCCUGUCCCAUCAACUCUUUUCAGUUAGUGUUAGAGUCUUUCAGACAUUUUAGACAGUCAUUUGAUUUGUUAAUUACUUCAGUUAGAUUUUCAGUAUGUCCAUUUAUAUUCUAGUACUUAAAACCUUUAGCAUUAUUCAGUUAUUUCAGCACAUGUGUAUUUUAUUAUUCAGUGCUCACAAUAGAUACCAGUUCAUGGGUUAGCUUGUGAUCUUUUAGGACCGUAAGCACCAUUCGGGACUAGGGAUAGCCUCGGGUCCUGGCAAUCUUCUUCUUUAUACACAGGCUCCAACCUUUCAGUUAGUACCCCAUAAGCCCAGAUGUCUUGCAUGUUUGCCAUAACAUUGUCUCAAAUAGAGGUCAUUGGCUAGGCCAUUUUUAUGCUGAUCAGCAAACAUUCAAUGUGUGCAAAUGUGUACGACCCGCACACCGUACCUAUUUUAUUUUUUGAAAGGUUCAUGUCCUUAUUUCGACCUUCAAAAUCUCAUAUUUUUGUAAUACCCUUAACUUUUCCUAGCUUAAACUCGUCCUAAAAAUAUCGAGGAUUAGUUUCUUCAAUGAAUGAUUUUUAUUUUGUAUGGAAUUCUUUAGAUUUGUACUUUUCAUUGUGUAGGAAACUGAAUUAGCUUUCCAACGAUAUAAGAUUUAUCUAAAUCCAAUAACCGGGUAAGAAGUUAUGGCUAUCUUAAGUUCUUGUCGCAAAACACCGUCAUUUGAAACCUUAGCGCAUUGCGGAGCAGUGUAAAAUCCCGAUUGUCAUUUUCUAGUGGCCCUCUGCGAAAGCACCACAUUGCGGAGAGGGCCAAUUUCCAGUGAUACCUCGCGAUACUGGCACGUCGCACCAGUGGUCAAAAUGAUAAACUAAAGGGCUCCGCGAUUGUGGAGCAUCGCGGUGGCCACCCAGUUCGGAAAAAUGUACAUUUUUUAGUUUUGUAUAAAAGUUUAAGAAGGACAUUUUGGUAAAUCUCCCAGCCCCUAAUCCAUCCUAAACAAUGAAUUAAACCCCUCAAAAGCACUUUACAUCCCCUUUUCAUCAAAUCUCUCUCAAGCAAAACCCUAGUUCAUCAAACUUCGUCACCAAGAAAUCCAAAUUUCUCCAUUAAUUCUCCAAGGCAAUUCAAGAUUAAGAAUUCCCAAUUCAAUAAAUCUAAGAAGGCAUCUCUAAAACAUCAAUAAGGAUCCAAGAUUCAAGUUUUAGCAUCUAGAUCAUCAAUUGAAAUAUGUGAGGUAUGAACAAGGAUAAUCCUUUCAUCCUUGUGCCCAAAGCUUGUUUUAAAUUCAAAUUUUACUAAAGUUUAUGUGAUUCUUCGUGAAUUUCAAAUUAGGGUUUACACCUAUUAUUGUUAUUUGCAAGUGUAUGAUAUUCCCAAUGAUUUAGAAGUUGCAUUCCACGAUUUUGUUCAAAUUUUCAUGCAUAUUGCUGAAAUUUCCAGAUUUUAUGAUGAAUUAUAAAUGCUUAUAUUAUCAAGCAUGAAUUUUAAGAUGUUUUAACAUGAGAUUGAUGCAUGGAUCACUAUGCCCUAAUUAAGAUUCCUAUUUCGAGAUUAUUUGUGCUAUGAGCACCCUCAGAUAAGAUUAUUCCUAGAUUUUGAUAAAGAUUUGACCUUUUGGUCCUAAGCUAAGAUAAAAAAAUCCACUUUAUUCAUAUAACUUGAGAUUUAACCUUGUGCUAUUUUUGAAGUGGAUUUCUUAAGAUUUUUAGCAUACAAAUGGGAGUAGUAUUUAGUACCGAGAUGUGUAAGUUACUACGAUUUCAUACCCCAGAACUACAUGCCACCGUAGGGUUAAGAUUGUUCCUACUUCUAAGUGGAUGAAUCAGAUUACGAUCACUUAAGAUUAGAAUUUCCAUUUUGAUGGCAAGGGUAGAACAACCCUACCUAACGGGGGCCAGACCUGGGACUCCAUGGAUGCUCACAUGGUAUAUGUCAAUUAGAAGAACUUCCCAAUAAGAUAUCCCUUAAUCUUAAAACAGGUUAUUAGCAUAAAUCCUUAAGAUAAAAGCAUAUAUUUUGAAAGCUAUGGUUUUAAGAUUCUUAAAGUCUUGAGAUAAAGUAUUUCCUUUGCAAAUUGAUAAGAUAAGUAGCAACUUUCAGAAAGAACAGAUUUUAGAACUGAAUGUAAUGACUCAUAAGAUUUAUAUUAUAUGCUUUAUGGAUCAUGAUUUAUGAUUUUUAUAUUUUAGAUUACUCAAGCCCAUGCGAGUCAUUUACAUUUAGCAUGCAUGGUUUUCCUUAUAAAUUGUGAUGAUAUUGUUUACCUAUUGCAUUCACCCCCAUAUACUCAGUAUAUCAUCAAAGUAAUAAUCUACAUAUACGCCUAUGUGCUACAUUAUCUCAUAAUGUAGGUUUAGGUACUCAGUCUCAGUAGUGUGAGUGAUUUUCGAGCAUCUCAUCUACAUCCCUGCAGUUGGUGAGUCCUUAUAGUUCGGGGACUUAGUUAUUCAUACUUUUAGUUCAUUAGUCAAUGUUCCUUUAUUCAUUUCAGACAGUUUGAGUCAGCUGUGGCCUGUCCCAGUGACACUCUAGAUUCAGAUAGUAGAGGCUUGUCUGACUACUAGAUUCAGUGUUAGACUUUUACUUUAGUAUUCAGAUUCUUAGUAUUGUCUUACAAAGAUUUGUGAGAUUUCUAUUCUUUCAAUAAGAUUUCCACAUUUAUUGUGUUUUCAUAUUCAUAUUUCCCUUAUUUUAAGAUUUAGACUUAGUAUAAAGUCGCCAGGGUUAGCUAAGGACUACUUGUAGUUCAGAGCACCGUGUGGCAUCCCAGGAAUUAGAUUUUGGGGUGUUAUAAUUUUUUUAUCAGCACUUCUACUUGCAAAGAUCCAUCAAUUUACUCUGCUCAAAAAAUUGGGGAGAAAAUCAAACAAUGGAUACAUUUGGAUAAAAAAACGUCAUCAUUGAAGAUAGGUAAGUUGUAGUCAUAAACCUUAAUUUUUCCCUCCUCGAGUAGUAUCUCAACAGCCAAAAAAUAUUUGACAUCCACGUUCAUGGCUGCAAGAACUCUCUUUGCCUUGGUCUAACUCUUCCUAUGUGGCUAUGGCCUCUUUCCCCUAAUAUAGUUAAUCACAUUUUUAUCCCAUUAGAACCUAAAAACUAACAAAUCAAAUCCCGGCAAACCGGAAGUUGACGCUAGCUUAAUGAGCUCAUUGUACCUAUCCUUGAAUUUUUUUUAGAAGUUGAGCUCCAUUAUCCCAUUGGCAGCAUCAUAAGCAUCUGGGUACGCUAAUUGCUUGCCCCUCAUGAGGCAGAGAAUUUCAUUAACGUACUGUGAUAUCAAAAGACAAUUUUUAAAUAGGUUAGUUAUUGUAAAGAAGAGAAACAUACUGCAAAGAUGCAAUGAUGGUCCAAAUGUUGCAGAGGGUUCUCUAAAUCUGUUCACAGAUUACCAAGCCAAUGCAACAUAUGCAACAAAUGAUAAUCUAUUGCAAUAGAACCACCACAAUUUGCACUAGAAUACCUAGCUGUUGCAACAGAUGACACAUCUAUUGCAUAGCUUCUUCUUCAUGAAGUAGAUUAGAAGGCUAGGUUAGGAAAAGUAAAUUUACCUUGUCCACGUACCACUUAUGCAUCUUUUUCAUAUUCUUGAAAUCUUGGUUGAAAAAGGUAUGGAUGGUGUAAUAUUGUGCAAGUUACUUGGCAUUCAUGGUCCUUCGCAGUUCCCUCUUCUCUUUGGCGCCAAGUGCCGUGUAUAUGUCCACAUUUUUCAAUGACCCUUGAACUUCAACAACUUUUGGAGAGGGAGGAGUUGCAAUAUUUUUUGGUUUCAGAUUAGAGAGUAUUUAACUAAUUGCUCUUUUAUUCCUCUUAACCACUGUUGUAGGAGUGUAUGGCUCCUUCACAUUAUUGGAUGGUAUGAAACCUCUCUUGGAUUUAAAUUCCUCGAUAGCUUUAGUGAUAGCCUCUAAUUUUUCAAAGAGUUUAUCCUGUCUUCCUUGCUCUUUUUGCAUUUACAACGAGAAAUGAGGGUGAAGAGGAACCACUAUAAGGGUAAGAGGGACCUAUGUAAGGGUAAGAGGGACCGCUGUGGUGGCAGCAUCAACAUGGCUGCCACCAAUAUCAACAACACCCUUAGAAGAAGCACCCGAAUCUGUUACAGUAGGUUGAUCAUGAAGAACCUCAACAUUAGGCUGACCUUGCCUAAUUUCUCUUCUUAUGGCUAUUGUUCCAUCCAAUUCCUUCUUUAUUAACUCCACUGUUGGUUCUGCUAUUGUCUCAACAAGAACUAGAGUAAUAAAAAAGGUCAUCCCCAACUCCUGCUCAGUAGGCAAUAUUUAUGGAUGCACAACCUAUAAAAAAGAUAGAUACAUUUAAAUCAUAUAAUAAUUUGCAGUCAGUUGGGUUACAUGUUAAUACAGACAACUUAUACAACAGAUGAUCUAUUCGUCGUAAUAGCUGAUUUUUCUGUUGCAAUAGAUUAGCAAUAUGUUGCAUCAAAUUACCUAUCUAUUGCACGAGUUGUGGUAGACAGGUAAUUUGUUGCAAUAGAUGAUCCAUCUGAAACAUUCCUAAACACCUAGUAGUGUCCUACUUAUAAGUGUGGUGCGCUACACACCCAUAAACAAGACUUUACCUGACGCAAUUUCGCAGACACCCUGGGAUAAUGAACCGUGCUCUGAUACCAAGUUUGUCACGACCUGAACCAAGGCCCUAGCCUUGACGGACAUCCCGAACCAUGAAAGCCCGAGAGCCCUUCUAACUUGUAAUCAUAUAUACUAUUCAUAUAUUAAUAGGAAAUACAAAAAUAAAAUCUGCUACGGAAACAUGGUCAUAAUCUAAAUUUAGUUUAACAAUGAGGAAUAAAAUCCAAUAUCAAUUAAACACCAUCUGAAAACCACAUGCGAAAUCUCUACUACAUGAUCAAAUAACAACUGUCUGAAAACUGGGACAAACCAAAACUAUAAUAAAUAAUAAUUGUCUGAAAGAAACUAGGCCUUCUGAAAUAUAGAAGGCUCACCAACUGGUACUCUUCACUCCUAUCUGAUGAAAUCUACUGCUUAUUAGGACCCCUAGAUUGUGCCUCAGAACUUGGAGGGAAGGGGGCCAAUACAGAUGUACUGGUAUGUAGAGCAAUCCAAAAUAAAGCUUUUAUAUAAAUAAAAUAGUUGAGAGCUAGUCAUAAACAUCAUGAAAGAUAUAAUUUUCAAAACACAUGGGCAUUCUUGAAAAAACAUAAAAAACCUUUCUGCCAAAAGCAAUUUCUGAUCUUUGUAUUACUUUUGAGUUAGGUGGCACUUCCCUAUAAGUCUGAUAUUCCACGGGCUAUAUGAAAUCUGUCAUUGUCUCUGUGGGGAUGCCCCUAACCCAAGUGCGUUGCAAGGGUUGGAGCGUCUGAGUCUGAUACGCCACCGGACACUAGUCCAGUGUAUAAUAAUAUACCCAAAUCAGCAAAUUACAGUUUUGGGCAAUGAGUUGUCUGAACGCAUUCCUUCUUCGGGGAACCAUCUAAGCUCUCUUUAUGCCCAAUUUUAUCCUGUUCUGAAUCAUGCAUUAUUCUAGUUUCAACAUCUAAAAAAUCUGACUUCAAACAUGCAUUCUAUUCUGUUCUGAAUUACCAUGGCAUUAUCUGAAUUGGUGUUGUCACACCAAGACUUGCAAGUCCUAUUUCUGAGACAUAAUGCAUCAUGCAUGAUUCUUUCAUUAAAACAUAGUUCAGAACACCCAAACAUGCAAUUUAACAAAGGGAAUUCAUGGUCCUAAAUAUAAGUCAAAACUAUACAAAAUUCCUAUUCUUUCAUUAAACAAGUGGUGUUCAUGUAAUCCUUAACAAACCAUGCAACCCUUCUCAUUAUAUAAUUAUGUUCAACAUUCAUCAACAUAAACAAACCUCUCUCUUUUGAAAAGGAAAAUCAUAAUCCAAAUAUAACAUUAUUCAAGACAUUUCAUAACAUGCUUUUCAAGAUGCAUUCAAACGAUUUCAAAGUAUUUCAUAAGUAAAUGAAAAUCAUGACAAGAGAGGGAUUUUUCAUGAAUCAUGCUCUCAAUUCAAUCAUCAACCUUAAAACACAUGCUUACAAUAUAUAUAAAAUUUCAAAUCAAUUUGGGGGAAAUCCUAAAGGCCAAAACAAUAUCAUCAAUGCUUCUAAAGCAUGAAUAUAUUCAUAAAUCUGAAAAACCCUUUCUUAAAAUCAAGAUUUCCAUACCCAUGAGAUUUUAGGAAAAUCCCGCAUACCUUAAAUUAGAAGCUUUUGAAUGAACUCUAGCUUUUGGGAUGCUAUAUGUACGAUUGAUGGGUGCCUCUUGUAGCCCUCACAAUGGGCAUUCUGAAUCUUGAAGAAUUAAGGAAAACCCAUGGUUAAAUCUUGAGAUAUUUGGAUUUUUAGUUUGAAACCUAGCGUGAGUUCUUGAUGAAUUUUAGAUAAAAGUAUCAUAUUUUGGUGUUUUGGGAGUUUUAUCCCGUGUUAUAGCUGGAUAAGGGAUGGAAGAUACCCAUUUUGCCCCUUAAAAACACGGAAACAGAACCUGAAAUUUUGGUGAUAGGGCGUGCAUCAUAUGCUUAUCACAUGAUGCUACUAUCUCAGUCACUAAAAUGACCAUAACUUUUCGCUCGGGUAUCAUAUUUAGGAGAAAUUGGUAUCGUUGGAAAGCUAAUUCGAAGAGCUUUCAUUUGAUAUACAGGAGGCCCUCUAAUUAAUUAUAUACAAAGAGUUAUGGUCGAUUGAAGUUGACCCAAGUUUCAACGCUCACUCAAACUCGAAUGAUAGGUAAGCUUUCAACUCAUCCUUGAGUUAGGGGACCUGUAUGAUCUCAAUUCAUGCUUAAAUAGGUUCACACACUACAUAAUUGAUUAACAUGCCAAAUUUGCAUAGGAUUUAUGGCUUUUGGAUUAUCUAUGCAUAGAAACGACGGUUUUUAUUCUAGCCCGAAAUGCGGGGUGUUCCAAGGACACUCCGUGAAGUUGGGGACUUGGCCUUAAAAUUCUAUUUCAUCUCUUUUCUUGAAAAAAAAAAUUAACACACUUCUUAGAUAGAUUAUUCAUAAUCUAGUGUUGAAGGUGUUAAGGAACUUCAAAAGUAUUCUUGUCUUAAACUUGAACUAGUAUUGAAGUUGGUGUUGCAUUUUAUACAGAUUUUUGUUCCCGAAAUACUACAUAAAAUAACAGUGAGGUCCGAGGAAAGUAGUUCGUACAGAAAUCUUAUCCUACGAGGUAGAGAGACUAUUUGUGAUAGAACUUCGGAAAUAAUAACAACUACUAUAAAAUAAAAAUAGUUAGCAAAAGUUGAAUGCACUCAACUGGACAACAAACAAAUGACAUUAUUCUCUAUGUUUGAUACAUACUCUUUUAAUAUAAAAAAUCUUAGAGUACAAUGAAUUCUUUUAUGUAUGGCUAUAUCCAAAUUGUUUGUUUCCUUCUAUAUAUGACUUUUCUCCUGUUUUUGGGUUUAAAUUUUUUUCAAUAUCCUAGUUAAAUUUAAUAAUCACAAGGGACCACAAGUGUUUAUUGUACGUACUCUUACCAUGUAUUUUCAGAAGAGGCUGUUUCGUGACCUCCUCACAACAACUUUAACAGUUACUCCGAGGCAUUACCAAGAAGUUCGAGGAAAAAUAUUCUGGAGAAUAACAUGACAACACCAGCAGGUUCUUAUACACCUACUGUUCUGAUUGUUGUAGUAGAAAUUGGCAAUGUUAAAAGAUGUAUGCAAUGUUUUAAUAUGUAUGAUCCAUAUCACUUGUACAAUAAAUGAACCCUACCAACAGUGCUCUUAUUAGCUUACUAAAUAAUUAGACUAUUGGCAGAGUAGGUUAGUGAAAGAAUAAUAAAUUAUUGGCAUUUUAGACUUCCAAUAAUCUUCACAUGUGAUCACAUAUUCCAAUAAUAUGCACAUGUGAUCACAUAAUCCAAUAACAAGCAGCAGUCAAAGGAACGUCAUUGAGUGGGUAUUUUAAUAAUGUUGGAGAUGUAAAUCCAGAUCUAGCUACUUGAUUCUUCUUUCAACUACACUUGAAUUAGCAAACUAGUUCAACAGCAACUUGACAAACUCUUUGCAACUGUUCAACAUUCUUUCUCAAACAGGUGCUUGAACUUCUCUUCAGACGGUGGAAAGGUAAGAUCACGUUCAAAGUCUCUUGUUUUUCCAUUUUUGAUGUUCUUUUUGCAUAGAAUUAACCCAAUUAGAGUCCUUGAUGUUGUUAGGUUCAAUUUGAGACUAAAAAAUAAAUAUAUUCUUGGACUUGGAUCUAGUGUGCUUACCAGAAUGUAGAGGAGAUAUAAGAUUGUCCAGAAGAUUUCUAUUGCUAUGUAAUUUUAUUCUCCUAAUAAACUUUUUAUAUAUCAGACCCUCAGAACUUCGAAAGGAAAGAGAACUUGAAAGACGCCUACAGUCAUGGAAAAUGAAGGAGAAAGAAGAAAAAACUUUGCGGUAUGUCCUGCUGGCUCCAUUCCUAUAUAGUAAAGCAUCUACUACCCCUCUGAACUAUGACCAAAUUUGCUACGACACGUUCCAACUUUACAGGGGUCGUAUUACCCACAGUCAUACAAACCAAUAUACAAAUUUUUCCUUCCUGACAUGAAAUUAUAUGAAAGACUUCAAGUUAAUGGGUUUGUUUGUCUCCUCGAUAUAAUGAUAGGAUCUAGAAACAAAUAAAACAUUGAUUUGAUCAUUUGGCAGGUGUCUUUUUCUGCUCUUCGCAAGGACGUUCUCAACGUUCUGGAUUUCAUGGAGAGAUUAAAGAAUGAAGAAGGUCAAAAUGCUGUUGGCCUAGCCGAUCAAAUUGAAAAUCUGAAAUUGGUGCUGGCAAUUAUUUGUACAUACGUCCAGCUUUCUUAUCUCAAUUUGAAGUUGUUUGAAGAUGUAAUGAGUAAUUCAAGACAAUGGGUUGACGCUCUGCUUCGACCAAUUUUGGAUGAUGUUGACAGCAACGUCGGGUGUAAAUACUACAUGGAUCAUGUCCUUCCUAGUCUCAUGGAUAAUAUAGAUGAAUGUAUCAGCUCAUGUCAUCAUUCUACAUCAAGUGCCACCAUGACUGACGAGCAGUUGGACUUCCUCCUCCUGAAUGUCCAUAAUCUAUCCAAGUAUUUUGCUGAACAGAUAUUUCCAUUAGAGGCUCAGUAUGAGAUUCUUCAGAAUGUAUGUGGCAACGUGAGAGAUUUCCAUGGGUUGAUAAUGAAUGGUUGCAUUGAGCACGAGAAUGUUCAAUAUGUCUUGCCUCAGUUUCAACUCAUGGUUGAGAGAGUUGCAAUCUUCAUUUGGCAUGAUCGACUUGAUGGAGACUCUCGACUCUACAAGCUAGCACAUCUACACAUGAAGAUCAUUCCAAUUGAACUGGAGGUGAUGCACAUAUGCUGUACAAAUUUAAAAGCUUCACCAUCAGCAGAAGUUGGAAGCUUCAUCAAGCAGCUAAUAGAAACCUCUCCAGACAUUCUUAGAGAAUAUCUGGUUCAUUUACAAGAGCACAUGGUAACUGUUGUUGCCGCAAGCACUUCAGGGGCUCGAAACAUUCCUGUCAUGAUAGAGUUCCUAUUGAUUAUUCUCAUUGAUAUGCCCAAGGACUUUAUUCAUCAUGAUAAAUUAUUUGAUCUUUUGACACGUGUUGGAGCACUUGUCAGGGAGGUAUCAACUCUUAUUCACGACUUAGUAGAUAAAUCAAGGAAUGAAGAGAGAACCGACCAAACAAAAUGUGCAACUCGAGAUUUGCUGGAAAAUAUUGAACUCCUCAAGGAAGAUCUCAAAAAUGAUUAUCUGAAAGCCCCGGACCCAUAGCAAUGUUGCUUCCCCAUGAAUGAUGGACAGCUCUUCAUGCAUCUGCUACAAAUACACUAGAAUGAUCUGCUAGAAUUCAAUUUCUUUGAUAAAGGAAGAAAUUGGAGUGUUGAAAGAAGAUACAGAAUUCAUAAGUUCGUUCUUCAUGAAUGCUGAUGAAGGAUUGUAUAAAGAUCUUUGGGGACAUGUUUUAGAUAGGGCAUACGAGGCAAAAGAUGUCAUUGAUUCAAUUAUUUUUCAAGAUAAUGGUCUCUUACAUCUUAUUUUCUCACUUCCCAUUACUAUAAAAAAGAUCAAGCUUAUCAAAGAAGAAGUCUCCAAUAUAUUUGAGAAGAUUCCCAAGAACAAGAGACUCAAUGUUGUAAACUCUCCCAAGAAGCCAGUUGAAAGCAAGUCAUUGACGGGUGGUAAAAUAAUUGUAGGCUUUACGGAGGAGACAAACUGGUUAAUUAGGAAACUCACCAGGGGACCAGCAAGUCUAGAUGUCAUUUCAGUCACUGGUAUGCCGGGUUCGGGCAAAACUACUUUGGCGUACAAAGUAUACCAUGAUAAGUCAGUUUGUAGUCAUUUCGAUCUUCGUGCAUGGUGCACAGUCGACCAAGAAUAUAAUGAGAAUAAUUUACUGGUGAAACUUUUAAAUCAAGUUACUAGCUCGGAUUUGAAGUUCAGUGAGGAUAUUGAUGUUGCCGAUAAGCUACGAAAACAACUGUAUGGAAAGAGGUACCUAAUUGUGUUAGAUGAUGUGUGGGAUAUUGGCACGUGGGAUGAUCUAACACGACCUUUCCCUAAAGUUGUGAACGGAAGUAGAAUUAUUUUGACAACUCGGCAAAAGAAAGUGGCUUUUCAUGCAAAGGGCAACACUGACCCUCUUAACCUUCGAUUGCUAAGACCAGAGGAAAGUUGGGAGUUAUUAGAGAAAAGGGCAUUUGGAAAAGAGAGUUGCCCUGAUGAACUAUUGGAUGUUGGAAAAGAAAUAGCCCAAAAUUGUAAGGGACUACCUUUGGUUGUUGAUUUGAUUGCUGGAGUCAUUGCAGGGAGGGAAAAGACAAAGUCUUUGUGGCUUGAAGUUCGAAAUAAUUUGAAUUCCUUUAUUUUGAACAGUGAAGUGGAUGUGAUGAAGGUUAUAGAAUUAAGUUAUGACCAUUUACCUCAUCACCUGAAGCCAUGCUUAAUUUACCUUGCAUCUUUUCCAAAGGACAGUGAAGUGGAUAGAGAUGAGUUGAAAAUGUAUUGGCGUGCCGAAGGACUUAUAGAACAGACAGGGAUGAAGAGUGUGGAAGAAGUGAUGGAGGUUUAUUUGGAUAAUUUAAUUUCCAGUAGCUUGGUAAUUGCUUUCAGUGACAUACGUAAUCUCCCGAUUUGCCACAUUCACGAUCUUGUGCACGACUUCUGUUUGGUAAAAGCAAGAGAGGAAAAGUUGUUCGAGAAGAUAAGUUCCAGUGAUCCAUCUUCUUCUUCAGAUUUGAUGCCACGUAUAGUGAACAUUGAUUGUGAUAAGGAGCACUUUGGGCUUAACAAUUUCAUCCUGUUUAGUUCAAAAAUGAAAAGGCCUUCUGGUAAACACCUCUAUUUUUUGGAGAUAACUGGAGACGAGAUGGAAGAUCAUCUUUCUGAUGCAUGUCACCUAAGACACUUGAGGCUUCUUAGAGUGUUGAUCCUGCGAAGCUCUUUUAUGAGGGUGAAAGAUUCAUUGUUGAAUGAAAUAGGCAUGUUAAAUCAUUUGAGAUGCUUAGAGAUUAGGACAGAAGUUAAAUCUCUGCCUUCAUCUUUCUCAAACCUUUGGAAUCUAGAAACCCUAUUGGUUGAUAACAAAGGAUCAACCUUGGUACUAUUACCAAGAAUUUUGGAUCUUGUAAAGUUGAGAGAGCUGUCCAUGGAUCGUUGUUCUUUCUUUGAUAUGGAUACAGAUGAACCAAUACUCAUAACAGAGAACUCAAAGUUAGAGAACUUGAAAGAAUUAGGGACACUCGUGCUUUCCUAUUCGAAAGAAACAAAGGAUAUUUUCAAAAGGUUUCCCAAUCUUCAAGAGCUUUCAUUCGUUCUCAAGGAAUCAUGGGAUUAUUCAACAGAGAGAUAUUGGUUCCCAAAAUUGGAUUUCCUAACUAAUCUAGAAUUUCUUAAUGUAGAAUUUGAAAGUUCAAACACAAAUGAUAGUGGGCCCUCUCUAGCGAAAAAUCAGUCGUGGGAUUUUCACUUCCCUUCCAAUUUGAAAACAUUGGUGUUGUAUGACUUUCGUCUGACAUCCGAUUCACUAUCAACAAUAGCGAGACUGCCCAACCUAGAAGAGUUGUUCGUUCUUAGAACAAUCAUCCGGGAGGAAGAAUGGACAAGGGGGGAGGAAGACACAUUUGUGAAUCUCAAAUUUUUGUUUUUGCGAGAAGUGACUUUUGCUAAGUGGGAGUUCGGAGAGGAAUCCUUUCCCGUGCUUGAGAAAUUACAACUGUGCAAAUGUCAUAUGCUUGAGGAGAUUCCGACUAAUUUUGGGGAUAUUGGUUCAUUAAAAAUUAUCGAACUUGUAAAAAGCCCUCAACUUGAGGAUUCAGCUCUGAAGAUUAAACAAUACGUUGAAGAUAUGACAGGAGGGGACACGCUUAAGGUCGAAAUAUCUUGAGCAACAGCUGAUCAGGUUCUUCUUCAUUCUUAUUCUUUUAGUGGCAAUUGCCACGGUGUAAAAAGAUGUCUACACUGAAUGUGUAGUUUGAUGAAAGUUUCAACUGAACUGUUUGUUAAUGGUCUUCUGUUUUCUUCUUUAUCAUAUGAACUACUCCUUUUUUUGUGUGUGUACAUUAACACUGUGGGAUAAAGUUUUGUAAACACCAUUUGAUGUUUGAACUUGCCCAAUAUCUCAAAAAUGACUUUUUAUUUGUCUGACUAUGACUUUUUAUGUUUUUCUUCAGUUUCUUGUAAUCUUACUUCUGCCAACUCAUCGGUACGUCAUACAAUAGUCAUCCAUAUUAACACUGACAGUAAGAUACAUAAUGUCAUACAUGUCUAAAGAACUUUUAAAAGCGGACCCCUUCCUUGCUGCCCUCAGCUCCUCCUCUAUAGACUUAUAUCUUUAACGUAUACAAGUGUAUAUAUUUUAUAAAUUAGUAUAUAAGUAAAUAUAUAUAUAUAUAUAUAUAUAUAGUAGUAAAUAGUUCAUCUUGUAAAAUAUAUAUAUGUAUAUUGUAGUAUAUAUUUUAUUUAAAGCAGUAUAUCUAUAUUGAAUGGUGCAUAUAUAUGUGUAUAUAUCUUCUAUAAGAGUAUAUAUUUAACAUAUCAAUGUGUAUAUGUUUUAUAAAUUAGUAUAUAACUAUAUAUAUAUAUAUAUAUAUAUAUUUUAGAGUAUAUAUAUAUAUUUUGUUAUUGUAGAUCUGUCAGAGUAUAUAUUUAACAUAUCAAUGUGUAUAUGUUUUAUAAAUUAGUAUAUAACUAUAUAUAUAUAUAUAUAUAUAUAUAUUGUAGUGUAUAUAUAUAUAUUGUACUAUUGUAGAUUUCUAGUAUAUGUUUUAUUUAAAGUAGUACGUAUAGUUAUAUAUAAUAAUAUAUUGAAUGAUACGUAUAUAUGUGUAAUUGUUUAUAUAUAUUUUAAAAAAUAUAUAUUGUAUAAUUGUAGUGUAUAUGGUGUAUAUUGAAGUGUAUAUAAUUGUAGUGUAUGUAGUGUAUAUUGGAUUUUUCAUUUUUUUUAAACAGGUUUGACCGGUUUUUAACCGGGUUUGACUUGGUUUAGGUGGGUUUAACCGGGUUGGAUUAAGUGGGCCGGUUCAGGGUUGUUUUCAACAUUUUUACUGUUGAGCCCAAAAUCGGCCCGGCCCACCUAACCCAACCCAAACCAAAACCGGACCACAACCCGGUUAAACUAAAUGGGCUGAUUCUGGGUUGGCCUGGCCCGGCCCACUUGACACCUUUAACUCUUCCUCCCCCUCCUCAGAAAGGUCCUCAUCACUAGCAAAAUCGUUAAGUUCUGACGCUAAAGCUUCUGACUCAUUCUUCUUUGCGGUCACACUUCUAGGCACAAAUGCUGGAGCUUCUGGACUUAAUCUGCUAUUCAAAGAAGAAGGUGAAACUCACUCUUCUUGAUCAACCAAAUCCUCUCACCUAGAAUCACUUAUCUCCCCUUUUGCUUCCUUAGCAAUAAUCAACUCAUUUGUGACUUUUGCUUGAGAGAUUGAUGUCAUGUUUUUCUCUAUGUAAUGCUCCUUUUGGAUGUUUCCCGUAACAGGAAAUGUCUCUAAAAUAUUUUGAGUUGAUAAAAUUAUAUUAGGAUUGACACAUCCUGUACCUUUUUUCCAACUUGGAAAAUUACUUUGACAUGCUGUAGAACCAAUACGACUACCAAGUGUUUUCUUGUGUGUAAUAAGGUUCCAAUUUCCAAAUGCAUUCGCUUCAUUAUUGGAAUUUUUCAUUUGCAAGUCAACAGGUUUUGAAGAUGCAACAACUUUCACGUUCUCGUGUUGCAAAACAGGAGUUUUUUCCUGUAUAACAUCUGAAAGUUUUAUUAGCUGGUUGAAUUUCAAUGUGUAUUAUUCACAUAUUGUUUCACUAUUUAUACAAGAAGGUAAGAGAUAUUCUACCAAAAAUAGAAGAUGCUAAUUGUAGCAAAUCCUAUCAACUUGAUUACAAGAAUAUUACAAGAGAUCAAAUCAUAUCAAUCACUUGAGAAUAGGAUGCUUUCUUUAUACACCCCCUCAAGAUGGCGAUUGAUCAGAAACGCCAAUCUUGCACAGAAGAUUUGCAAAUUGAGAACUAGGGAGAGCUUUUGUAAGUAAAUUCACAAGUUGAUCUUUUCCAGAAAUAUGAGAAACAUGAAGCUGGCCAUUUUGAACCAUAGUGCGAACAAAAUGAUAAUCAACCUCGAGAUGCUUCAUCCACGUAUGAAACACUGGAUUGACAGUGAGAUAUAUGGCACCUAAAUUAUUGCAGUAGGCAACUGGUUGCCUUGGUAAUGAAAUAGCAAUCUCACAAAGUAAGUUCUGAAUCCACUGAAUUUCAGCAGUAGCAGAGGCAACUGAGCGGUAUUUUGCUUCAGUCAAUGAUCUAGCUACACUCAGUUGUUUCUUUGAGCUCCAAGAGACCAGAUUUUUACCAAGAUAUGCAAGAAAGGCACUGGUGGAAGAGCAGUCAUCCUUAUUGACUGCCCAAUCUGUGUCUGAGAAGGCAUGAAGAUCAAGCGGAGACUUACGAUGGAAAAAUAAACCAUAGUUCACCGUUCCAACUAAGUAGAGAACAACACAUUUGACUGCAGACCAAUGAUUUUUAGUCGGAAGAUGGGAGAAUUGUGCUUGCUUGUUUACGGCAAAGGCUAUAUCUAGUCUUGUUAAUGCAAAAUACUGUAAACUGCCAACUACAGUAUGAUAAAGCUUAAAAUCAUCAAUAUGUGCGCUGUUCUCCAAGCAUAAUGAAUUUCUAGUAGACAUGAGAGUAUUGACCACUUUCUCACCUUCCAUUUGUGUCUUGGCAAUUAUGUCAUUAAUAUAUUUCUUUUGAGAUAGGAAGAUUCCAUCAGACGUUCUCACAACUUGAACACCAAGAAAAUAAUCAAGAGAGCCCAAAUCUUUGAUAGAGAAGCGUUGCCCAAGUUUCAAAAUAAACUUAUCGACAACAUUAGGAUUGCUCCCAGUAAAAAUCAAGUCAUCAACAUAGAUGUCCAAGUAAAUAGUGAUGCCCAACUGAUUGUAAAUGAAGAGUCAAUGAUCGUCUUGAGAAACUUGAAAGCCCAAAGUUAGAAGAUAGCUCCGUAGUUCCGAGUACCAAGCUCGUGGUGCCUGUUUAAGCCCAUAAAUUGCCUUCUUGCGUUUGUAGACAUGUUGAGGCCUUGUUUGGUCAACAAAACCUUUAGGUUGAGCCAUAUAAACCUCUUCCGUUAGUUGACCAUUCAAGAAGGCAUUAUUAACAUCUAAUUAUCGCAAAGGCUAAUCUCUGGUAAUGGCUACAAUUAAAAUAACUCGAACUGUAGUAUACUUAGCAACUGGAGAAAAGGUCUCAAUAUAAUCAAUGUCCAAUCGUUGUGUAAAUCCUUGAGCGACAAGACGUGCUUUACAUUUUUUUUAAUAUCCUAUCAGAAUUUAGCUUGACUCAAAAAAUCCAUUUAGAGCCAACUAACUUUUGCUUUGAAGUAGAUAGAACGAACUCCCAUGUGCCUUGUUUCUAUAAUGCAUGAAUUUCAUCUUCCAUGGUUGCCUUCCAAUCAGGAUCAUUUAGUGCUUUUGACAAAGACUGUGGCUCAGAUUUGAUGCUGGACGUAUUGACAGAGACUUUAGAUGGUGUGUCAUUGGCUUGGAUCAGAGAGUUGUCUUUCAUUUCAGAAAGAGUGGUAUGCAUCCAUAACUUUUGUGUUGGCUUAUAAAUAUUAUUCUUUGCUCGGGUUAUCAUGGGAUGAGUAUUUAUUGGUAAGUCCCUAUCAUGAUUAGAAGAUAAUAAAGUGGGAGAUGAAUUUGGUGAGGAUCUCAUACCUGAAACAUGUACUAAUGAUCUCAAUGACUCAUCUAAUGAUGGAACACUGACAUUUGAACCCAUUGGAGUUGUUGGACCAGCAAAAGGACAUUCACGGCCGACCAAAUUUGUACUAGAAGAUAGGGAUCGUCCAGUAGUCGGGGAGGAACAAGUUGGGUUAGAAAGGGGUGAGUGUGGAACAAUGAAAUAAGGAGUCUACUAGUUAACAGUAGCAUCAGACACCCUAACAUAACUGAGUUGGAUGGUUUUAAAGGGAAACUCAUGCUCCACAAAUCUACCUGCCUUGAAAUAAAAAGUUUUGAGGUGACUCGGUCAUAGAAUUUAUAUGCACUUUGAUUUAAAGAAUACCCAAGGAAGACACACGGAGAUGAAUGAGGUUGUAGUUUGUUUUGUUCAUAUGGUCUCAACAAAGGACAACGCAGACAACCAAAAACACGAAGCUUCUUAUAGUUUGGAAGAGAUCCAAAAAUUCAAAGAUAUGGUGAAUCAUUAUUUAAUAAAGGAGUGGGUAUCUUAUUUAUCAAAUAUGCAGCAGUUUGAAAAGCAUAUGACCAAAAUGAUAAUGGAAGAUUAGAAAUGUGAAGAAGUGUGAUACCUAUUUCAACAAUAUGCUUAUGUUGUCUUUCGGCUGUACCAUUAUGUUCAUGAGUGUGGGGAGGAGUCAAAAUGUGAGAGAUUCCAUUAGAAGCAAAGAAAUCCUUCAAACUGAUAAAUUCACCACCAUUGUCUGAGUAAAAUGAGACUAUAGAAUGAUUAAAGAAUUUCUCUACAAUGGCUUUAAAUUUUGGAAAAAUAUGCGCAAAUUCAGAUUUUCUUUUCAUAGGAUAGAGCCAAACAUAUUUUGUAUUAUUAUCCACAAAAAUGAGAUAAUAUUUGAAUCCAUUGACAGAAACUAAAGGUGAAGAUCCCCGUACAUCAGAAUAAAUAAAUUACAAAGGACGCGUUGAUUUUAUGGAAGAAACUUGAAAAGGAGACUUGUGCAUUUUAUUGCACUUACAAGAGUUGCAAAAAAACUUAGAAGGAUUUAUUUGAAUAGGUAUAUCAAUCAGCUAUAGAGUGUGACGCAAUAUAGGAGAGGAAGGGUGACCAAGGCGACAAUGUCAUUGUGAAACUGUGGAGAGUUCCGUGGAACUAACAAUUGGGAUAGAAGUAGAUUUUGCAGGGAGAAAUGAUGGCCACUCGUAAACGCCGUCCUUAGGCUUUCCCACUACCAGAGGCUUCCUUGUGUAGUAAUCCUUCACAAAAAAUGAGAAAGGUGAGAAUUUAACAGUAACAUUAUUCUAUGAGCAUAAUUGAUAAACAGAAGUAAGAUUCUUUUUCAUUAAUUCAAGGGACACAGAGAACAUUAUUAAGGUAUAAAGGCCUUAAACGUGAAGGUAAGAAAGUAGAGCCAAAAUGUGUCACAACCAAGUUUUUACCAUCACCCAAUAUCACAUCUUCACUACCAUCAUAAUCGGAAUGAAUUGACAGAUUUUGAAGAUCUGCAGUCUCAUGGUGAGAUACACCAGAGUCUACCAACCAAUUAGGAUUAUUUUGGUUGGCGGUUUGAGCAAAAUUUGCUCUUGGAGGAGCCCUUGUGUUUCCAGUAGUCGAGGAAUUUGAGCCACCAAUGGAAGAUGGCUUAGACCAAGGAAAUAACUUCCAACAUUGCUUCACUGUAUGUCUAGCCUUGUCACAAUAUUGACAGAUCACAGUAUAACCAUCUCUAUGAUUCUUUUGAUGGGGUAGAAUGAUUUUGCCUCGGAUUUGGGUUAGGUUGGACUUUGGAAGCAGAAUAAUGAUUUGUGUGAUUGGUGUGUAUAUUUAAUCUACCAUUGUGAGAAGUAUAAUUCUAUUCUUGGACCAGAAAUGGAUGAAGUAUCAUGAGCAACACUGCUCUCAUAAUCACAAAGCUUUUCAUGGAGUUCAUUAAAAGUGAGAGGAGUUUCUCGCGCACAAAUUGCAGCAGAUAGCAUCUUAUACUCAGAGGGGAGUCCACUAAGAACAUGAAUGUUAAUAUCAUCCAUAGUUAGAUUUGCCCUAGUAGCAUUCAAAGUGGUAAUAAGUUGCUUCACUUAUUGAAGGUACGACACCAUAAAUUUAGUACCUUUGUUCACUCAUGUCAAAGACUCCUUGAGUGUGAGACGAGCACGUGAGGGUCGGGUAUACAAAUUAUGGAGAGUCAUCCAUACAUCAUAGGAAGUUGCAUCUAAAAGGACAUAUGCUGCCACUUCUAAAGUGAGAGAGGCUACAAGUGCACUUCGAAGCAAUUGAUCCUGUCAGACCCAAAACAAAGAGUUCAGUUGCACUUUGGUAGGAGGAGAAACAACAUAGGAGGUGAAAUUAUAUACAAUCAAUAUAGAACGCCAUUGAGAAUACCACAGUUGGUAAUUGGAUAAUGAGAGUUUCACGGAGGCUUGAGCGUUUGUAUUAAUAGAUAUAAGUUGUUGAUCUUUUUCUGUUAAAGUGGUGUUUGUGAGUGGUAUGGAAGUUAUAAUAGUGGAGUUGGUAUUAGGAAUAGAAAAAAGGCAUGGAAGUGCAGAAACAACAUAUGGAGUGGUGGGAACUGUUGAGAGAUGAAUAGUAGUAGAUAAUGUUAACGACACUAUUGAAGGGUUAACUGAAGUAGUAAUGGUCGUUGUUGGUGCAAUGAAAGAUUGAGUGGUUUGCUCUAUGUGUACAGGAAAGUACUGGAGGACUCAAAUUUUGGGAAAAAAUUAGAUUUGCUGUAAGGCGAGCAGCUCUGAUACCAUGAAAGAUUUAGAAGAUGGUUGAAUUUCAAUGUGUAUUAUUCAUAUAUUGUUUCACUAUUUAUACAAGAAGGUAAGAGAUAUUCUACCAAAAAUAGAAGACGCUAAUUGUAGUAAAAUCCUAUCAACUUAAUUACAAGAAUAUUACAAGAGAUAAAAUCAUAUCAAUCACUUGAGAAUAGGAUGCCUUCCUUACAACAUCACACUGUGCAAUUCUUUUACCAUCUACAACAGUCUUUUCGCAACCACCUAAAACAUCCAUUUGUUGCUGCUGCAAUAUCUCUUUUGAAAGAACAAGAUUUGAAUUCCCUAAGGGUGCUACAGUAGAAUUUUUGAUGUCACCAAGUGCCGAACUCGGCAAAAUAGAUAACUCUUUCUCAAACUGACCAGUAACCUCUUUCUCAACAUGACCAACAACUUCUUUUUCUAUGCUCUGCUCAAUUCCAUUAGUAUUAGUUCAACUAGUAACAAGAUCACUUUGAAUACAAAGUCAUAAUUUGAUUUCCAUCAGUUGUACCUGCAACAAUUGGUAAAGAAUUAUCCUUAUUCGAAAUAAUAUUCCAUGCCAAUUGUUGCUCCAUGUUCUGAAGUUUUUCAAUAUCUUUUUUUCCAGCUCUCUUGGCAUUCAAAAAAUCAUGUGCAUCUCCCUUUAAUUGUUCCAUAUUGUUGCCUUCAGAAUUAGGCUGCAUAAGUGCGAGAUCUCUCCCAUCUUCAUCACCCAAACGAUCACCUUGCGAUAUUGUCUUUUCCAUCAAGAAACGACAUUAGUUUUCCUCAUGCCCUUGAUGUUUACAAUGAGUCCAAUACAAUGGAAGAUUAUCAUAGACAAUUUUUUGAUAAUGUUCAAUAAUUUUGCUUGAUUCCUUAUCCAUAAACUGUAACCUUACACGAUUUGGAUGCUUUUCAAGUAGGUCUAUGAUUAUAUUUACCAUAACAGUACUUGGCUAGUGCGAUCUUGUGUUGCUUUAUCCACUACAAUAGGCUUCCCUGCGGUUGCUGCAAUUUAUACUAGGGACCUCCUAGCAAAAAGAUCUGCAGGUAAUUUUGGUAAUGAAAUCCAUACCAAGGUUUUCGGUGUUUCCUCCUUAGGGUUGAACGAUGGCGUCCAUAUGCAAAUUCUAAACAAGUAUUCUUUUUUGUCAAAGUUAAAAUAUCCAUAUGAACUUGACAAAACCUAUACAAAGUUGUGAUCGAACCUGGUCAAAAGGUGACAAAAAUCAAGUUGUCCGAUAUUACAAUUUCCUUUAAGAUCAAUGUAACGCCCCGUAAAAAUCCUUCAUGUGUUAUCUCGUAGUAGAUUGCUUAUAGAGUAGAAGACUUCAAAAAAAAAUUGCUUAUAAUAUACCCGUAUUUUACCAAUACGGGUAUAUUAUUAUUGUACGUUGGCGAUGGUCCUGUGGCGUAAUAGAGACAGAGACUCCGACCCUUUCGGCAAACUUGGGUUAGGGGCUUGGCUGUCGAGUUAAUGGCAGAUUCCAUAUAGCCCAUGGAAUUUCAGAGUUGUAGGGUAUACCACUUAGCGCAGAAGUAAAAUAAAGAUGUGUCACAGAGUUCAGAUGAUUUUAUAGAGUCUUUUAAAUAUGCCCAUUUGAUUCUUACCAUAUGAUAUAUUUAUGAACUAUUUUAAAUUGCCCUCAUAUAUGUUGAAUAAAAAUUAUUAUUUUGGAUUUGCUCUGCGUACCAGUAUAAUUGUAUCGACCCCCUACCUUACAGGGUCUGAGGCUUAAUCUAGAGGUCUGGCUAAUCAGUAGAGAUUUCAGAGAGAAGAGACUGCGCAGUAGUGAGCUUCUCUAUUCCAGAAGGCCUGUUUAUUUUAGACUAUGUUAUUUAUUUUUAUUUGGGUCCACUGGGGACCUUGUCCCAGAUUCAAACAAUUGUCAUUCUAGCAUGUAAUAGAGAUUUCGCUGACUGCUUUAGAAGUUGUCUAGAGUUGUUGGAUUUUAAUUCUUUAUCAUUAAAUUGAGUUCAGAGACCAUGAUUCUGUAUUAAGUUGUAUUUCUACAUCUUCUUUUUUUAUAUGAAUAUUGUGCAUGACUGCCAGAUAGAGAAGGGUGUUUGGGCCUUCAUGGUUCGGAAUGCUCGUCACGGUCAGGGCCUUGAUUCGGGUCGUGACAAGUUGUUCCUCAGGAGAACAAUCAUCCAGGGGAUGAAUGGAACAUGGGCAAGGAAGACAACUUUGUGAAUCUCAAAUAUUUAAUUUUGAAUGAAGUGACUCUUGCUAAGUGGGAGGUUGGAGAGGAAUCGUUUCCUGUGAUUGAGAAAUUAGUACUGUGGGAAUGUCAUAUGCUUGAGGAGAUUCCACCUAGUUUCGGCGAUAUUUGUUUGUUGAAAAUCAUCAAACUUGUAAAGAGCCCUCAACUUGAAGAUUCUUCUAAGAAGAUUAAACAAUACAUUGAAGAUAUGGGAGGGGAUGAGCUUCAGGUCCUGGGCCCGAAUAAUAUCCCGUAAUUCAAGUAGCUCUUAAGCACUACCAGAACAGGUUCUUGUCUAUUCUCUUGCACUGUGUUUGAUGAAAGCUUAAGUAAAUUGGGAGAACCAGCAAGGCGUGUGUGUGUGUAUGUAAAUGUACUGGGAUAACGCUUUGUAAACACCAUUGUAGGAAGACAUUGAUCAAUAUUUCUAUGACUUUUUAUGUUUCUUUCUUCAGUUUCUUAUAUUUUUACUUGUUCCUCCUGAUAAAGUUUUUUGCACAUUUUAUACAUCACAUCCUGAGAUCAUCAAAAGGAAGGGAAGGAUAAGUUACUUUGGAACAAUCAUGGAAUGGAAAGAGGAAAGAAAAUGAAGGAGACCGAGAGAAGGAAGAAACAAACAACUCAUCGGUCAUUCCCAAAUCCGUCAGAUAACUGAAUCGAAAAUGCCAGCCAACACAGGAAGAGAAAAUCCAGUACUAAUCAUGAAAACGGUGGAGAAACCGAUCAAGAUACAGGAAACCAAUCAAGUAGAUGAAAAUGGAAGUGUGACGAAUAGAGUAAAAAUGAAGGUAUCACAUACUAUGCUAUUGCUUAGUAACUUUCAUUAAUAAAUUAUUAUCUUAAUCUUUUGUUUCUAUCUCCUAUUUCCUUUGCUAAAUUUAUAUUCAUUAUCAUAAUGUGGAUGAGUCUUGAUGUUGAAUAUACAUAUAGAGAUUGAAAUGUUAUAUGUGGUCAAGUCUUUAAUGCUUCUAAAGUACAAAUUUGACAAUGUGGAUUUUCUUUGUAACUUAACAAAGCAAGAAUCUAUUUUGGUUGCUGUUGCAGUUAGCCCUAGAAAUAAUUAUCUGUGAUACAACAGACUAGAAUCUCAUUAAAAAUCUAAUGCAGGAAAGUUUGGACGGGGAUGAAGAACCUGUUGCUCAGAAUUAUUCUAGUGUGGCUAGAGCAGCGAGGAUAUAUCAGUCUAGCAUCUUCUGAAAUAAUCCAAGAGGAAUCCGCUCUCUGUUUUACAUUAAGCAAUAGUAAUUUCCGAUACCAGUUUGUGUAGAGGUUGCUUCACUAGACCUUUUUGAGGCAAGCAACAGUGCAACUCCACAAUGACCACGUGCAACUCAAGGUGGGCUUGAUAUAUUUACAUAAUCUUCAAGGCAAGUUAUUUGCUUGAAGCAACAAUAUUUAAAAGGGUCAUUUCUUAUUUGAAACAAUAUCACAUGAACCUACUCCAUCUUCUUUCUUGCUAUUAUUUUGCUCCAUUAAUUAAUUCGCGUCAUGACACUAGAGAAAAUUGAAGGAAAAGUGUCAUUUAAGUCUUGAAUGGAGGAUUUGUGAUAUUGACCAACUUAAAGGGUCAAACAUAAGAAACUUGAUUAGAUUAAUUGUGGAAUUGAUUAAUAUUUUCCAAAUUUUCUAAUCUUUUCAAAAAUACAAAUCAACCCACACUUCUUCUAGUGUAAGUUAACAAUUUCAAUAUUUGUUGCUUAAAUUUACAAUGGGAACCCAAGAAUACCCUAAUUUGUGGUAUUUUCUUUUUUCUCUUUUCGGAGUGAAAUAUGAUUUUUUAUUGUUACUAUAGUUCUUGCUGUGGAACAUUAUUGUAAAAAUAGCAAGAGUUGAAUUUUAUUUUUUUCCAGAGACAUCUUUGGGACCAAAUCUAACAAACAACUGUUGAUUUGUUGGUGUUUGUUAUUUUUUUUUUUUUAUAUUUUUUGUUAUUUGUGUUUGUACAAUAUUGAAGUUGUUGGUAAUAUUGAUGUUCUUAGUGUGUGUUACUUAGGCGAUUUUAGUAAGUAAAAUUAUAAUUUUUAGUUGAAUUUCUCAUCUGGGUGUAUCUGCUACUGCUAUUUUCUCAAUAAUAGAUAAAACAUGUAACGUGAAUCCAACAGAUAAGUAAUCUGUUGCAACAUGUACGACUAAUCUAUUGCAAUAGAUGAGUAAUUUGUUGCAACAUAUAUGACUAAUCUGUUACAACAGAUGAGUCAUAUGUUGCAACAACAUGUGGGUAAUCUGUUGCAAUAGAUGCAUCAUAUGUUUCGAUAGAUUACUCAUAUGUUGCAAUAAAUUACUCAUUUGUUGGAUUAUUAUUAUAGUGUUGUAACAUGAAUCCAACAUAUGGGUCAUCUGUUGCAAUAGAUUAGUCAUAUGUUGCAACAGACUACUCAUUUAUUAUAACAGAUGACUCAUAUGUUAGAUUCAUGUUGCAGGUUCUAUCCAUUGUAGAACUAGCAGUACACCAAAUAAGAAAUUCAACAAAAAUCAUAAUUUUAAUUACAAAAUCACCUAUGAAGUAAUUUUCAAGUGAUAUACGAAUAAAAUUUGACUUAAAAAAUUCCAAAUAUUUCAAUAGGGGUAUAACGGAUAAGUAAAACACAUGAAAUGCAAAAGGAUCAAGGGGACAAAUAUUUGAGUUCUCCUAAAAACAUUUAAGUUUCCUAGUAUUUUAAUUGCUUUCUAAUGGAUGACCUAUCUGUUACAAUAGAUUUUCUAUUUGUUUAAUAAUUUUCAACAGAUGAAUCAUUUGUUGCAACAUGUUAAUCAUCUGUUGAUUCAAAUUAAGAAAUUAUUAGUAAUAACUAAAUUUAUUUAGCUAAAAUUAAAGACAUCUUUAAGACAAAUGGACAAACAUUUAAGUUUUAAAAAUGUUUGAGUUUCCUAGUAUUUUAAUUAUAUUCCAACAGAUGACCUAUUUGUUGCAACAAGUUAGUCAUCUGUUGCAACAGAUGUGUAUAACAGGCUAGUCAUUUGUUGAUUAAAAUUAAGCAAUUAUUAAUAAUAACUAAAUUAAUUUAAUUAAAGUUGAAGACAAGUCUUUAAUUUAAGACCUUAGACAAGGGGACAAAUGUUUAAGUUCUCCUAAAAACAUUUAAGUUUUAGUAUUUUAAAUUUCUUUUCAACAUAUAUCUUGUCUAUUUAAUAAUUUUCAACAGAUGAGUCAUAUGUUGUAAUAAUUUAUUCAUUUGUUGUAACAGAUGUCUAUAUCUGUUUGAUAAUUUUCAACAGAUGAGUUAGUUAUUGCAACAGGUUAGUCAUCUGUUGCAAUAAAUGUCUAUAUAUGUUUGGUCAUUUUCAACAAAUGUUUUUAACUGUUUGGUCAUUUCCAACAAAUUACUUAUCUAUUGCAACAUGUUAGUCGUCUAUUGAUUCAAAUUAAGUCAUUAUUAGUAAUAACUAAAUUGAUUAAACUAAAAUAAAAUAUGAAUUAAUAAGUUCAAUUACAGUUUCAAUUAAUCUCAUGGUAAUCACACUAUCAACUAAGUAUGUUCAUCCUGAGUAGAGUGAUCAAUUGACUAGUUUUAGUUGAAAUGAUUCAAACUAAGCCAUCAUUAGAAAUAAUUAUAUUGAUUUAACUAAAAUUACUGAUGAAUUAUUAAGUACAAAUACGAUUUUAAUUAUUCUCAUGGUAAAAAUAGUGUAUUGAUAAAUAUGAUUUGUUAUUGUUUAUAUUGAAUAAAUCUUGCUAUUGAUUUGUUUUUUCAACAGAUGAACAAUCUGUUGCAAAAAAUGAACAAUCCAUUGCAAUAGAUGAACUAUAUGUUGCAAAAACGAAUCAAUUACUCCAACAGAUGAGUCAUAUGUUGCAAGAGAAGGGUCAUUUGUUGUAACAGUGGACCAUAUGAUGCAACAAAUAGAUAAUCUGUUGGAAGAACUCAAGGGUCAUUACUUUUCGAUGAUUUAAUUUAAAAAAUAAUUCGUAAUAAAUAAUAUGAAAAAAUAUGAUAAAAACAAUGUUGUAUCUAGUUAAUUGAAAUAACUAAAAUACUAACAAGGUGAAAAGUUAUAACUUUCCACCUUUUCUGUAUUUAAAUCUAUUUUUUAAUUUAAAUAAUCAAAAAGUGACCAAGUUUGAUUUAAUUAAGAGAUAUAAUUAUUUAAAAAGAGGUAAACGGUCGAGAUUUUUUGCCUAACACACUGCACAACUCACUCAUUCAAUCUUUUAUAAAUAGGUCUCCUCAGCUCCGACAUUUUUUCUUGUAUAAAAUCGUCAUUACAUCUUCAAUCAAUUCUUUUUCAAAAAUAAAUUUCUUGUUCGUCCGUUGAGGUAUGUUUUAUUUUCUUGUUCUAAUAUGAAAACUAUUAACAUGCAUCUAUUUUCUAGUUAAGUUUCACAUUUUUUUGGUUAAACUACCAGUUGGUAGUAUAUGGGGUUUAGUGUUUUACGUUAUUUGUUCAUACAUGUUCUAGAUAUGACUAAUCUAAUUUGGUACAUGGUGAUUCUGCUUGACAACAUGUAGAAACUUGAAAGGCUAGUUCAUGAACUCAAGUGUGAGUUAGGCGCCUCGAGAGCAAGGAUGCUUUGUGAGAUUCGAAGGCUGAGAGGUCUUCUACACAAUGAACUUCUGCCCAAUGAAUUUUUGAUUGACAAUAAUAAUAAUAAUAAUAAUAAUAAUAAUAAUAAUAAUAAUAAUAAUAAUAAUGAUAAUAAUAAUAAUAAUAAUAAUUAGGUUAUAUAUUUUUUUAUCAUAUGUAAUUUAUUUUAUCGGAUCUACCUAAUGUUGUAAAUAUUUAUUAUGUAAUGAAUGAGAAAAUCUAUAUUUGAUCGACUGAGUUUAUUCUUAUUUUUUUUCAUUCUGCCUAUUUUUUGUAAGAUGUUGAGAGGUGUAGGUUUUUGAGUGUUUGGGAGUAGAAAGAAUCAAUUACAAGAAAGAAAUUGUUUGGUUGAGAGCAACGUCAUAGACUAAAAUUAAAUAACAACACAAGAUUAUUUACUAUUACAACAAAGUUAAAGAUAGAUUGAUAACAGAUGGCCCAUCAGUUGCAAUAGAUGGGUAGUCUAUUGGAAAUGACCAAGUAGUUAAAGACAUCUAUUGCAACAGAUUGAUCAUCUGUCGGAACAAAUUAGUAAUAUAUUGAAAAAUAACCAAACAAAUAAUGACAUCUAUUGCAACAGAUUAGUAAUUUGUUGGAAAUGAUGAAUAGAUAAAGUCAUAUGUUGCAACAGAUUGGUUAUUUAUUGGAAAUGACUAACAGAUAAAGACAUUUGUUAUAACAGAUGAUCAAUCUGUUGCAACAUAUGUGUAUAUCUAUUUGAUAAUUUUCAACAAAUGACUCAUCUGUUAUAAUAGGUUAUACACUUAACUGAUCAUGUAAUUACUAUGAGAUUAAUUGAAAUUGUAACUAUUAAAUCAAUUUAGCUAUUACUGAUAAUGACUUAAUUUAAAUCAUUUCAAAUAAAAUUAGUCACUUGAUCACUCUACUCAGGACGAACACACUGAGAUGAUCAAGUAAUUAAUAUGAGAAUAAUUGAAAUCAUAAUUGAACUUAUAUUCAUCUUUAAUUUUAGUUAAAUCAAUGUAGUUAUUACUAAUAAUGUCUUAAUUUGAAUCAUUUCAAAUAAAAAUGGUCAAUUGACACUUUACUCAAGACAAAUACACUUAGAUGAUCAUGUAAUUACUAUGGGAUUAAUUGAAAUCGUAAUUAAACUUAUCAAUUCAUCUUUAAUUUUUUUUAAAUUAAUUUAGUUAUUACUAAUAAUUGCUUAAUUUUAAUUAUUUUAAAUAAAAUUGGUCAAUUGAUCAUUCUACUUAAGACGAAACACUUAGCUGAUCAUGUAAUUACCAUGAGAUUAAUUGAAACUGUAAUUGAACUUAUUCAUUCAUGUUUAAUUUUAGUUAAAUAAAUUUAGUUAUAACUAAUAUAAUGGCUUAAUAUGAAUCAAUAGAUGACUAACAUAUUGCAAAAGAUGAGUAAUCUGUUGAAAAUGACCAAAUAAAUAAAGACAUAUGUUGGAAAUGACCAAACAAAUAUAGACAUAUGUUGCAACAAAUGACUAACCUGUUCCAAUAAAUGACUCAUCUAUUAAAAAUUAUUAAACAAAUAUAGACAUCUGUUGCGAUAGAUGACUAAGUUGUUGCAACAUAUGACUCAUCUGUUGAAAAUUAUCAAACAGACAGGAUAUGUUUUGGAAAAUAAUUUAAAAGACUAAAACUCAUAUUUUUUUAAUAGAACUCAAAUGUUUGUCCCCUUGUCUAAGGUCUUGUCUUUAAUUUUAGUUAAAUUUACUAAUAAUUGUUUAAUUUGAAUCAUUUCAAAUCAAAUUGAUCAAUUGAUCAUUCUAUUUAGGACGAAUACACUUAGUUGAUCAUGUAAUUACAAUGAAAAUAAUUGAAAUUGUAAGUAGACUUAUCAAUUCAUCCUUAAUUUAGUUAAAAUCAAUUUAGUUAUUAUUAAUAACGACUUAAUUUGAAUCAUUUCAAAUAAAAUUGGUCGAUUGAUCACUCUCCUCAAGACGAAUACACUUAGUUGAUCAUGUAAUUACUAUGAGAUUAAUUGAAAUUGUCAAUGAACUUAUCAAUUCAUCUUUAAUUUUAGUUAUAUCAAUUUAGUUAUUAUGAAUAAUGGCUUAAUUUGAUUCAUUUUAAAUGAAAUUGGUCCAUUGAUCACUCUAUUCAUGACGAAUACUUAGUUGGUCAUUUAAUUACUAUGAGAUUAAUUGAAAUUAUAAGUUCAUCUUUAAUUUUAGUUAAAUCAAUUUAGUUAUAACUAAUAAUGACUUAUUUUGAAUCAUUUCAAAUAAAAUUGGUCAAUUGAUCACUCUACUCGAGACAGAUACACUUAGUUAAUCAUGUAAUUAUCAUGAGAUUAAUUGAAAUUGUAAGACAACUCAUCAAUUCAUAUUUAAUUUUAGUUAAAUCAACAUAGUUAUUACUAAUAAUGGCUUAAUUUGAAUCAUUUCUAAUAAAAUUGGUUAAUUAAUUAAUCUACUAAGGAUGAUACACUUAAUUGAUCAUAUAAUUACUAUGAGAUUAAUUAAAAUCGUAAUUGAACUUACUAAUUCAUCUUUAAUUUUAGUUCAAUCAAUAUAGUUAUUUCUAAUAAUGGUUUAAUUUAAAUUAUUUCAAAUAAAAUUGGUCAAUUAAUUAUUUUACUCAAUACGAAACACUUAAUUGAUCAGGUAAUUGCUAUGAGAUUAAUUGAAAUCAUAAUUGAACUUACUAAUUCAUCUUUAAUUUUAGUUAAAUCAAUAUAGUUAUUUCUAAUAAUGGUUUAAUUUAAAUUAUUUCAAAUAAAAUUGGUCAAUUAAUUAUUUUACUCAAUACGAAACACUUAAUUGAUCAGGUAAUUGCUAUGAGAUUAAUUGAAACUGUAAUUGAACUUAUUAAUUCAUAUUUUAUUUUAGUAAUCAAUUUAGUUAUUACUACUAAUAGCUUAAUUUGAAUCAAUAGAUGACUAACAUAUUACAACAGAUGAGUAAUAUGUUGGAAAUGACCAAACAGAUAAAGACAUCUUUUGAAAAUGACCAAACAGAUAUAGACAUCUAUUGCAACAAAUGGCUCACUUGUUGCAACAACUAACUCAUCUAUUGAAAAUUAUCAAACAAAUAUAGACAUCUGUGGCAACAGAUGACUAAGUUGUUGCAACAUAUGACUCAUUUGUUGGAAAUUAUUAAACAGACAAAAUAUGUAUUGAAAAAAUAAUUUAAAAUACUAAAGCUCAAAUAUUUUUUUAGGAGAAAUCAAACAUUUGUCCCCUUGUCUAAGGUCUUGUCUUCAAUUUUAAUUAAAUCAAUUUAAUUAUUAUUAAUAAUUGCUUAUUUUAAAUCAACAAAUGACUAACCUGUUAUAAACAUUUGUUGCAAUAGAUGACUAACUUGUUGUAAUAAAUAGGUCAUCUAUCGAAAAAUAAUUAAAAUACUAGGGAACUCAAACAUUUUUAGGAGAACUCAAAUGUUUGUUUCAUUGUCUUAAGACUUGUCUUUAAUUUUAGUUAAAUCAAUUUUGUUAUUACUAAUAAUUACUUAAUUUGAAUCAACAGAUGACUAACAUGUUAUAAUAGAUAAUUCAUCAGCUGAAAAUUAUCAAACAGAUAGAAAAUCUGUUAUAACAGAUGGGUCAUCCAUUAGAAAGCAAUUAAAAUACUAGGGUACUUAAACAUUUUUAGGUGAACUCAAACAUUUGUCCCCUUGAUCCUUUUGCAUUUGAUGUAUGAUAUACUAUUUUUGUCCUCUUUACCUGUUUCAUAAAAUUUUUCGUGUGUUUCACUUAUUCAUUGUGCCCCUAUUGAAAUUUUAAGAAUUUUUUGGGUCAAAUUUUGUUCAUAUAUCACUUGGACAUUACUUCAUAGGUGAUUUUGUAAGGAUAAUUAUGAUUUUUAUUGAAUUUUUUAUUUGAUAUAUCUGUUACUGCUACAAUGGAUAGAACCUGUAACAUGAAUUCAACAUAUGAGUCAUUUGUUGCAACAUAUGACUAAUUUGUUGUAACAAAUGACCCUUAUGUUGGAUUCAUGUUACAACACUAUAAUACAAAUCCAACAAAUGAGUAAUCUAUUGCAACAUAUGGGUAGCCUGUUGCAACAGAUUACCCACAUGUUGUUGCAAUAUAUGAAUCAUCUGUUGUAACAGAUUAGUCAUAUUUAUUGCAACAGAUUACUCAUCUGUUGGAUUUACGUUACAUGUUUUAUUCAUUAUUGAAAAAAAAGUAGUAGCAGAUAAACCUAGAUGAGAAAUUCAACUAAAAAUUAUAAUUUUACUUAUUAAAAUCACCUAUGAAGUAAUGUCCAAGUGAUAUACGAAUAAAAUUUGACCUAAAAAAAUUUGAUCAACCAGCAACAGAAGAGGUAACAACAACAAUGUUCAACAACAACAAGAUGAUGAUGAUGAAUAAGAAGAGAUGAUAAUGAAGAGCAAGAUGAUGAAGAUAAUGAAUAAAGCAUCUCAACAACAACAAUGAACAACAAAAAUUGCGAAGAGAGAGAAAACUCCAAUAAAUGAGAAGAGAGAGAAACACGUCUUUUUUCCCUCCGUUUCUAGUUAUAUUAGGUCUUACAUUGGAUCAAAGUGUAAAUUAAAAAAUUUGUGGGUUAUUUUCAAACUUUUCUUACUUUCUUGAUACUUAAUAAAGUAAUUGCCACCUACACUCAAUUAUUAAAACUUGAGCCACCUACACUUCAUUUUAAAACUCUUUUGUCACCUUUAGCACAAAACUCCAUGACACUACAACAUUUUGGUCCUAAGGCCACACUAAAUCUGGGUAACACUUGUAAAGUGUUGCCUAAAAUAGUUUUGGGCAAGAUUUUAAAAUGUAACCUUAAGUUUUACCUUUAAGCCAUAAUAAUUUAGACAACACUUGCAAAGCGUGCUCUUUAAUGUUAUACAUAAUAUUUUAUAAAUGUUGCCAUAACAUCAUAUAAUUGGCAAGGCCUUUUACAAAUAUGAUUACCCUUUUAAAAUGUGGCUAUAUUUAUUAUUUUAAAACAAUAAUUUAUAAAUGUUGUUUAUAACCUUUUAUAAAACUAGUUUAGAUGUACGCACCUCACGCGUGUACCUCACUUUAAUGAAUUCAAACGUUACGCUAAAUAAAAAAUUUGUUUAAAUAAUAAAUAUAAAUACAAUAAUUAAAUUCAACAUCUUUUGAAUAUGUAAAGAUGGAGAAUUUAUUUUAUUAAACCUAACUUUUACCGAAAAUAAUUCUCAAAGUCAACCGACAUUUAUCGACCGCCUGCAAACUACAACAAAAUAAUAUGAUAAAAAUGAUAUCAAAAUAAUACAAUUAAAUUUAAAAUUUACACACAAAAUUCCUCAAAUCCGAUCGACAUUCUUCUACAACGUGUAAAGUACCACAAAAUAAUAAACUAAUAGAGAUCCUAAGACAAUACAAUUAUUAUACAAACUAAUAAUAAAAACAUUUAUUGAAUGUAUUAUACAGAGCCUGAUGGACUGUAUAUAUUUAUCCAUACAUUGAUCGAAAAAAAUGGAAAGGUAAUACUUUACAAAAUAAAAAACCAACUAGCUAACAUCUAUGAAAUACAAGUGAAUCAGUAGCUUACUUAAAAGACAAAGGAAGAAGAAGGAGAGAGAAUAAAAAAACAGUUAAAGAAAAAUGUAAAAAAAAGGGCACACAUAUGUUAUUGAAAGACCUAAGCAUAUUGUGUGCAUAAAUUAGUAUAAAUAAUUUUCUCUAGACCUCAAUAUUUAUAGAAAUAUUUUUUUAAUAGAGUUCUAUUUUAGGAGUAUUUUUCUAGUUGACCUGUAUAAAGAAAAAUAUUAAUUGAUUCUCUUUCCAUAUAUUUUAGAGUCCCAUAUAUUUUAGGAGUUUAGUAUAGUAAAAAAUAAUUAAAUAAUAAAAUUGAAUAAAAUAAUGAAAAGACAGCUUUAUCGAAAGGAAAGUAGACAAAAAAUUGAAUAAAUUGAAUAUUUUAUUCCCUCUCAUUUCUAAUUAUCAAAAAAAUAAUAAUCACAAGAAUAUUGCCUAAGGUUUAUCUCAUCGGUGAAUUAGAGGCAUUGGGAAAUUGAAGCAGCAAUUACUUUUGAGAUAAUACCUAUUACCCCUGAACUAUACUCAAAACGAUAAAGACACACCUCAACUUAAAGGGUCCUGUUAUCCCUGAAACUAAUUAAAAGUAUAAUUUUUACAUUCUUAGUGUCUACGUGAUACAUACGUAGCAGAACGCAUAUCACAUAAGCACAAAUGUGUGCCACAUAUACUAUCAAAAUUAUACUUUUAAUUAGUUCAUGUAAAAAGUACCUUUAAGUUGAGGUAGGGUAUUUUCUCAUUACUUUUAUCACUUCAGCAAAAUCACCUCCUCAUCACUUCCGCAAAAUCUAAGAGGGGAUUUCCUCGGAGAGGAUUGUAUAUACUCAUUUCUGCAAGUUCUCUCAUUGGUGAAUUACAGAAAUUGGGUACUUUUAUCACUUUCGCAAAAUCUCAUCCGUGCGUCACUUCUGUAAAAUCGAAGAGGCGAUUUCUGUAAGUUCUCUUCGUAGUCAUUUCAUCCAUUUCUAAUUGAGCUUAAAGCUUUUAUCAUUUUGCCUCUGAGAAAUCUGCCAUUUAUUUGCUGGCUGGCUGACUGUUUUUCUUUUUAAGCUUUUAUCAUUUUGCCUCUGAGAAAUCUGCCAUUUAUUUGCCUCAAGGCAAUGAAAUUCAGUGCCCAUGUGAUAGGUGUUGUAAUGUCCGUUGGACUCAAAGGGAUGUAGUGUAUAAUCGAUCGUGGAUUUGUUGAAGGUUAUAAAAGAUAGAUCAAUCACGGGGAAUGGAAAAUCCAUUUGAAUCAUCAAACUGCUGAUGCAUUCACGACAGCAUUUGGAAAGGAGAAGCCUGCUUGAAUUAAAGGCUAUGGUAGAUCAGUCACAACAACUUCUCUGAAAAAAAUGAGGAAAUGAAUGAGCUUAAACAAAAGCAUGCUAAAGAAGUCACUUCUAUGAAGGAAGAAAUUAUAAGUGAAAUGAGUGAAGAAAUGCGACAGUUUUUUAGUCAAUUGGUGCAAAAAUAAUCCUAGAUUGAAUUUUUAAGAUAUACCAGGGAGUGAUGGAUCUAACAUUCCUUCACCUGAUGCAAGUAAUGCACAGGCUAUAAGAGAAAAAAAUCUUUCAAAUUUAUCCAGCUCAGCUCAUGCUUCGAUUUCUGAAAAGGUACUUUAUCUUACAAAUUCACAAGAAAGUUAAAUUCUGAACUUUUAACUUGAUUGAAUGAGUUAAAGAAACUUUGGAUUCACAUACUUCCUCAUUCAAGAUUGAAACAAUAUUUGUAUAUUUGUUGAGCAUAAUUUUACUACUAAUUGUUUGUUUAAUUUUGAAUGUGUAGGAUCAAUGCGGGGGAUCAAAUUGGAAUGGUGGGCGCCACAACUCAACUUGAUCUAGAUUAAAGUGAAUGAUGAAGAAUUUUUGAAAUAUUUUGAUAUACGUUUAUAUACAUUUGGUUUUGUGUGGAACUUGGUACAAAUUUUUAUUAUGUUGUUUUCUAAUUAGUAUGUAAGAGACGUGUCUUUUUGAAGUUCAUUACAAAUCUAUGCACUUCAAUUAUUUAUUAGCUAAUUGGUGCGUGAGAUUAUAUAUAAAUAUGUAUGUUUAUGUAAUGUGCUUAGUGAUGUAUAUAUUACGAUCAAAAUAAUUAUUUUUCAAUUAGAAAUUACAUACUAACAUUUUAUAUGCCUAAUGCCAUCUCUAUAAAAUGUGGCUUGAACUAUCAAAUUUUUGGCAAUAUUACUACACUUCAAAAGUGUGGCUAAAACAUGCUUACACUUUACAAGUGUUGUCAUAAUGUAUAAAAGGCUACGAUUUUGAAGUGUGGCCAAUCAGAUUCUUCAUUGUUCAUCCUGCAUAAUUUUGAGUGUAUUGUUUAUGUCCUAGUAUAUGUUGAUGACAUAAUUUAUUAGUCUAUCCUUGUUGAUAUAGGUCUAGUACAUACUCUUUAAAUAGUUGUCAUACGACUAAUAACAAACGAUUAUUUUCUCAUCUUCUAUUCUCUAUCUCUUUACCCUCGUCAAGAAACUCUACAGAUACAGGACAUAGGUUCGACAUGCCUGAUUCUGUUUGGACCAUUGAUGGAGAUUCAGCAGCAUCCAGCAUCGACAUCAUAUAGUACUGGGUAUUGCCCCAUGGCUUCUGCAUAGGCAAACCGUGGUCCGACUUUGAGAAAAGAAGUUCAGGUCCCUACUAAGCAGAAUUCAUAAACUAUUGCAAGGCUCUUUGAAUAGCUCUUUCCCAUAGUUUUUUGCUCAAUCCCCUAGUGUAGUUUACAUGCGCUAGUAGUAAUCGACGGAACAUUCGUGCUGAAGGUAAUAAAGAAAGCUUUACAAACUCAUACGCAAUCAAUUUCAUAAUUGACCGAGUGAUUUCAGAGCAAUUAGUAAUCACAAAUAGAGAAAUUUAAACUGUGUUUAUUCUGUAUCAUGACUAUUAUGUUUUUGGGUGGUUAAUAUGAGCAUGUUCAACUUGCUCUUUUAUGAAAAUGGUGUUGUAACUAAUUAGUAUGUUGUGUAUGGUUUAACAUUAGUUAUAACUCUUCUUGAAACUAAUGUGCAUCAGGUUGUUUCAACAUUAUUAACUUUAAGUAUAUGCUAGAUGGGUCUACCCCGUAAAGGUAGGAAUAAGGUCUGUUUACAUCAUAUUCCUCCUCAGACUUCACUGGUAGGACUUCACCAGAUAUUAAUGUAAGGGCGAUUCUAGGACUUCAUCGGAUAUUAAUGUAAGGCUUGACAAAGAUUGAUAAAAGGUAGAAAGGUCAUUUCCGAUAGACCCUCGGAAAUUCAUUAUGUUUGAUGGAUACUCUUUUAAUAUAAAAGUUUGGGAGUAUAAUUACUUGCUAUGUCCGGCUAUAUCAUGUUAGAUUUAAUAAUCACAAUGGACCACUUUGAAUCGACUAUCAUUUUUGUCAUUGUUGUUUUGCUUCGUCUUCUCUUUUUCACUCUUCCCCCAUCCACCUACAAAUAUUUCUUAUAAUAUAUGUAACAGAUUUUUCAGUACAAAUAUACGCUGUCAUCGUGUUCUUUCCUUUUUUCCUUUUUACAGACAAGGGAGGCCCCUUAAAAUUAAUUUAUGCUUUUGUUCUUUAGACUUUUCUAAAUACUAUGCAUCAUUUUUUUUCUACAGCUUUUUGAUUAAUACUGAAAUUAUUUUCUCCACUUAGUCAGUUGUGAUGCUUAACAAACUGACACAUGAAUAAAACAUGUUACUUGAGUUGGUCGACACAUAGGAAAGCAAAUUUCCAGUUUUACUGAUAGAUGCAGACAAGAUUGCUUAAAGACAAGAACGAAUAAGCAAACCUAAUUCUGAUAUACUCAAGCUACUGAUCAUGUGGGGAAUAUAACAAGUUGAAUUUGAUUCAAACACUUAAUGAUAAGGGAAAGCAAUUUGAGUUGAAAAAGGAGUUCUACGUGAAGAAGGAGUUUCACUUCUGAGUAUAUCUUGAAGAGUCCUAUGUGUGGGAGGAGAAAGAUUUUGAUAAAUAAACAUGUGCUGAUUUAAAAGAGUUGGAGUUUUACUACAAUACUAUGGAAACAAGAGUUGGAAUUAAAGAAAGAAUCUCACUUGAAGUAGAACUCUAUGCAAUGAGAGUUUUAAUUAAAGGAGGAGUUUGAAAUAAAGAAUGACUCUUUGAAGAGCUGUGCUUAAAUAGAAGAUGCAUCAGUCAGAAUAAUUCACGCACUUAAAAAAACAGAAAAGCUCAAUCGACAGAUUGACUUCACGAAGUGCUACUCAAUCACUGAAGAAACACGUUGAAGAACCUGGUCCUCAGUACAGAAUCCAGCUAAGAGUUUUAGCAUUGAUUUUUAGAGUUGUUCAUUGUGUUUGAGCUAUUCAUGUAAUAUUAGUUUCAGUGUGUUAUAAACUGAAUUAGGAGCUAGUCUUCGAGUUGGGGAAAACUCAGAGACUUUGGGAACACAUACCUUGGGAGGUAUGUGUAGUUAGGAAUUAGAGUUUAUAAUUCCUAAUUAUUGAGUUAUAGGGAUUAGAGUUUAUAAUUCGUAAUUGUUGAGUUAUAGGAAUUAGAGUUUAUAAUUCCUAUUUGUUGGUUACAAGAGUUUUGUAAUCAGUCGUUUUUGAGGCUCAAAAUUUUUUAGUGAAGUUGGGGUUAAAUCCUGUAGAGGUGCAGGUCGUGGUUUUUUACACCUUUUGAGCCGGAUGUUUUCCACGUAAAAAUCAUUGUGUUCUUUACAUUCUGUUCACUACUUCCUUGAAACACGUCAGUGGAACACGUCAGGCAACACGUUGCAUCGAUAAGCAAAAGUUAGGUGAAAAUAAGAAAAUCUGUAGGGCACGAAUUCUUAACAAGUUCCAACCAAAAGAAGCUUUUUUUGUCUUUUUAUCAGCAUCAAACCCAUCAACACAAUGAUUUGGAGUCAUUAAUUAUUCCUCCAUAUUCUUUGUGUCAGAAUUUUGAGAAUCUGUUGGUACAAAUAACAAAACAAGCAGAGAAUAUUUUCAUCAAGUAAAAACGUUGGUCGAUUCAUCUGUAUUGAACUAUAAUUGUGGAAUACACAAAUAUUCAUUGUGUUAAUAGUAGAAUAUAUUUUGUAUGAAUAUAUUUUCCUUUAUACCAAACACAUCCUUUUUGCUUCCUUGUUUUUCCUUGGUUUUGUCUAAUAAUCAAAGUACUAUAUAAAAAUGAGAAAAUGAGAGUUAGGAGAGCCGGGCAUUCCGAACCAUUAAGGCCCGAGAGACCCUUGUAACGAUCCAACCCAUUAAUGAUAUUGUCCGCUUUAAAACGCUUCACUAGGGAGUAAGACUUGCUUACUUAUAUACCCAACAUCUCUCAUGUGUUUUGCCAAUAUGAGACUCUCUAUCCUAAGUUGGGGUGUUACAUAUCUAGAUGGAGAAAUAAGAAAAUAGUAACAAAUAAAAAUGAAACGAAAAGAUGUUUGUUUCUUGCAAGAAAUUGUGAUUAGCUUUCUAACUAAAUUAAUCUAAACCUAAGUAUCAAUUCUAAAGUGUAACAUUUUGGACUUUGUUGCAGACAAGUGAUUAAUGUUGUUGCUCUUUAGACCUUCAUGGCAGUAGCAGCAACUUAUCUUUAUAAAUUUAUUUAAUACAUGAUUCUUUUUUUUAAUACUGAGAUUAUUUUCUCCACUUACCCCAACUAACACAAGAGACGAUUUGGUCUUUUUAUAAACAUUACUCUCUAUUUGAUAUGGACAUUUGUUCUUUUCUUCAUCAUUUUCAACAAUGGUCUAUUAGAUUACAAUUUACAGGUCACAUAUUGUAAAGAUAAGAGACUGCAAAUAAUUUUCACUAUUAAUUAAGAUGGCCAACAUGAUUAAAAAAAGACUUGACAGGUAAAUACAUUGUAUUUAUUAAAUCAUUUCAUUCUUCUUUCUUUCUUGCUGUUGGUGGCCUUUCAUGUUCAUCUUUAGCCAACUUGUCAUGAGCAUCUAAAAACACCAACACAAAGCAGCAGAAUUAUACAUUUUAUUUGUAAAAGUAGUAGCCUUUCAACAACUUGAAUUCUUUCUGUUGUUGGCCUUUCAACUGCACUUUAUUUAGCAGACAAAAUUUGUUUUUUAUCCAAUAGCUUACUCUCUUUGCCGUUGUUUCUAAAACAAGCGGUUGGUUCUAUUGCUAAACUUCAGACUGGGAAAAGGUAAGAUCAGGUUCAAAGUCUCUUCUUUUCUAGUUUUCUCUAUCUUCUACCAGGGAUUUCAUUUUUCUUUACGACUCAAAGAUGUAAUAUAAAUAUUUUUCUUUUCAUUGUAUUGACAACAUAAUAACAUGAUGAGGCUGGUAAGAAAAUGAUAAAAGAUCCCUUCUAAGUAGUUUUGAUCCAUUUAGAUUUGUUAAAGGUGAGAAGUCAAUGAGUUGUAUUUUAAUAAUCUUGGAAUUCUAAAUAGAUCUUGCUAUUUGAUUGGUCAUUUUGUUAUUCGCCUUUCGACUACUUCUUCAUCCUAUUACUUUAACCUGUCCCACAAAAAUAUGUCAAAAGGUAAGAGUAUGAUGAAGGAAUCCUAAUGAGUGGUCUCGGGAUGUAGUGGGAUGAAUGAGACUCUAAUUUGAGUUUGGUGAUUGAAUGCAAUGGUUCGCCUAGCGAGUUGUAGCUCGUUAGAUGUCAGUCCUAGCUUUAGAAUUUGGGGUUGUGGCAUGAUCACCACCAUAGUCAUUAGCUUAAUAGUUUAUAUGUAACUCAGCACUGUCAAUAAAAUUGUAGGACGACAUCAUCCAUAUUCACAAGCUAACAAUCUCCACAAGUUGUGCAUGUUGAUCUUAACUUGAACUAACUUCUUAUGCAUGUUGUGCUGAAUUUUAUGUGUGAUUAACAAUGGCAAUUCUGGUGUUAGAGACUAAUUGCACUAAAAUUACUAUUCGGACAAAGUAGUUUCUCUAUAUGUAUUUGAUGUUUUGACUUUGAUCAAUACCACGAUAGAACUUAAUGUAAUUAACUUUGGUCCUUUUUUAUGUACGUACUCUUUGUGCCAGAGAACUUGAUUACAAUCAUGGAAAGAGUAAAAGAAAAUGAACAAGUGAGAAAGGAAGAGGAAGCAAACAACUCAUCGGUAUGUCAUGAUCAAUGUAUAGCUUAUGUCCAACUUUCUAUUUUGAAGAAAGCCCGCUUCUAUAGCUAUGUUAAGUACUGUGGCUUUGAAAAGUUUAUAGGAGUAUAACAUUUGGUUUUUUUGCAGGUGUCGUUUUCUGCUCUUCGUGAGGACGUUAUCAAUGUUCUGGAUUUCAUGGAGAGGUUAAAGAAUGAAGAGGAUCAAAAAACUGUUGAUGUGGAUCUUAUUGAAAAGCUGAAAUUAAAGCUGAAAUUUGUUUGUACAUAUGUCCAGCUUUCUUAUUCCGAUUUGGAUCAGUUUGAAUAUAUAAUGACUGCUUUAAGACACGAAGUUAAAGAUCUGCUUCGAUCACUUUUGGAUGAUGUUGACACCAACAUCGAGUGUAAAUACAACAUGAAUCAUGCCCUUCUUAGCUUCUCCAAUAAUAUGGAAGACUGUAUCAGCUCAUGUCAUCAUUCUAAAUCAAGUGCCACGAUGACUGACGAGCAGUUGAACUUCCUACUCCAGAAUCUCCAUUAUCUAUCCAUGUAUCUUGCUGAACAGAUUUUUCCAUUGGUGACUCAGUAUGAGAUUCUUCAGAAUUUAUGUGGAAAUGUAAGAGAUUUCCAUGGGUUGAUUUUGAAUGAUUACGUUGAGUGCGAGAUUGUCGCAUAUGUCUUACCCCAGCUUCAACAUAUGGCUGAAAAAGUUGGAAUCUUCCUCUGGGAUGAUCUAACUAGUAAAGACUCUAAAGUCUUCAAGCUAGCUCAGCUAUUCAUGAUGAUUACACCAAUUGAACUGGAGGUGAUGCAAAUAUGUUACACAAAUUUGAAAGCUACAACUUCAGCAGAAGUUGGAUGCUUCGUUAAGAAUCUCCUGGAAAUCUCUCCCGACAUUCUUAGAGAGUAUCUGGUUCAUCUACAAGAGCACAUUGUAAAUGCCAUUACCGCUACAACUCCAGGGGCUAGAAACAUUCAGGUCAUGAUAGAGUUCCUUUUAAUUAUUCUCAUGGAUAUGCCGAAGGACAUUAUAAUCUCCACAAGUUGUGCAUGUUGAUCUUAACUUGAACUAACUUCUUAUGCAUGUUGUGCUGAAUUUUAUGUGUGAUUAACAAUGGCAAUUCUGGUGUUAGAGACUAAUUGCACUAAAAUUACUAUUCGGACAAAGUAGUUUCUCUAUAUGUAUUUGAUGUUUUGACUUUGAUCAAUACCACGAUAGAACUUAAUGUAAUUAACUUUGGUCCUUUUUUAUGUACGUACUCUUUGUGCCAGAGAACUUGAUUACAAUCAUGGAAAGAGUAAAAGAAAAUGAACAAGUGAGAAAGGAAGAGGAAGCAAACAACUCAUCGGUAUGUCAUGAUCAAUGUAUAGCUUAUGUCCAACUUUCUAUUUUGAAGAAAGCCCGCUUCUAUAGCUAUGUUAAGUACUGUGGCUUUGAAAAGUUUAUAGGAGUAUAACAUUUGGUUUUUUUGCAGGUGUCGUUUUCUGCUCUUCGUGAGGACGUUAUCAAUGUUCUGGAUUUCAUGGAGAGGUUAAAGAAUGAAGAGGAUCAAAAAACUGUUGAUGUGGAUCUUAUUGAAAAGCUGAAAUUAAAGCUGAAAUUUGUUUGUACAUAUGUCCAGCUUUCUUAUUCCGAUUUGGAUCAGUUUGAAUAUAUAAUGACUGCUUUAAGACACGAAGUUAAAGAUCUGCUUCGAUCACUUUUGGAUGAUGUUGACACCAACAUCGAGUGUAAAUACAACAUGAAUCAUGCCCUUCUUAGCUUCUCCAAUAAUAUGGAAGACUGUAUCAGCUCAUGUCAUCAUUCUAAAUCAAGUGCCACGAUGACUGACGAGCAGUUGAACUUCCUACUCCAGAAUCUCCAUUAUCUAUCCAUGUAUCUUGCUGAACAGAUUUUUCCAUUGGUGACUCAGUAUGAGAUUCUUCAGAAUUUAUGUGGAAAUGUAAGAGAUUUCCAUGGGUUGAUUUUGAAUGAUUACGUUGAGUGCGAGAUUGUCGCAUAUGUCUUACCCCAGCUUCAACAUAUGGCUGAAAAAGUUGGAAUCUUCCUCUGGGAUGAUCUAACUAGUAAAGACUCUAAAGUCUUCAAGCUAGCUCAGCUAUUCAUGAUGAUUACACCAAUUGAACUGGAGGUGAUGCAAAUAUGUUACACAAAUUUGAAAGCUACAACUUCAGCAGAAGUUGGAUGCUUCGUUAAGAAUCUCCUGGAAAUCUCUCCCGACAUUCUUAGAGAGUAUCUGGUUCAUCUACAAGAGCACAUUGUAAAUGCCAUUACCGCUACAACUCCAGGGGCUAGAAACAUUCAGGUCAUGAUAGAGUUCCUUUUAAUUAUUCUCAUGGAUAUGCCGAAGGACAUUAUUCAUCAUGACAAAUUGUUUGAUCUUUUGGCACGUGUUGGAGAACUCACCAGGGAGGUAUCAACUCUUGUUCGCGACUUAGAAGAAAAAUCAAGGAAUGAAGAGAGUAUCGAUGAAAAAAGUCCUGCAACUCGAGACUUGCUGGAAAAAAUUGAACUCCUCAGGGAAGAUCUCAAACAUGUUUAUCUGAAAGCCCCGGACCCAUGCCAAUGUUGCUUGCCCAUGAAUGAUGGACCUCUCUUCAUGCAUCUGCUACACAUACACUUGAAUGAUCUGCUAGAUUCCAAUGCUUAUUCAAUUGCAUUGAUAAAGGAAGAAAUUGGGUUGGUGAAAGAAGACUUAGAAUUCAUAAGAUCGUUCUUCACGAAUGCUGAGAAAGGAUUGUAUAAAGAUUUGUGGGCACGUGUUUUAGAUGUGGCAUAUGAGGCAAAAGAUGUUAUCGAUUCGAUUAUUGUUCGAGAUAAUGGUCUCUUACAUUUUAUUUUCUCACUUCCCAUCACCAUAAAAAAGAUCAAGCUUAUCAAAAAAGAAGUCUCAAAUAUAUCUGAGAAGAUUCCCAAGAAUAGGAGCCUCACUGUAGUACACUCUACCAAGAAGUCAGUUGAAAGCAAGUCAAUCACGGCUGGUAAAAUAAUUGUAGGUUUUGAGGAGGAGACAAACUGGUUAUUUAGUAAGCUCACCAGUGGACCGAAAGAACUAGAUGUCAUCUCAAUCACUGGUAUGCCGGGUUCGGGCAAAACUACUUUGGCGUACAAAGUAUACAAUGAUGAAUCAGUUUGUAGUCAUUUUGACCUUCGUGCAUGGUGCACAGUCGACCAAGAAUAUGACGAGAAGAAGUUGUUGAUGAAACUUUUUAAUCAAGUUGCUGGCUUGGAUUUAAAGUUUAGUGAGGAUAUAGAUGUUGCUGAUAAGCUACGGAAACAACUGUAUGGAAAGAGGUACCUAAUUGUGUUAGAUGAUGUGUGGGAUACUACUACAUGGGAUGAUUUAACAAGACCUUUCCCUGAUGUUGAGAAAGGCAGUAGAAUUAUUUUGACGACUCGGCAAAAGGAAGUGGCUUUUCAUGGAAAGGGCAACACUGAUCCUCUUAACCUUCGAUUGCUAAGACCAGAAGAAAGUUGGGAGUUAUUAGAAAAAAGGGCAUUUGGAGAACAGAGUUGCCCUGAUGAACUAUUGGAAGUCGGAAAAGAAAUAGCUCAAAAUUGUAAGGGACUUCCUUUGAUUGUUGAUCUGAUUGCUGGAGUCACUGCAGGUUUGGAAAAGAAAAAGGCUGUGUGGCUUGAAGUUCGAAAUAAUUUGAAUUCCUUUAUUUUGAACAGUGAAGUUGAUGUGAUGAAGGUUAUAGAAUUAAGUUAUGAACAUUUACCUCAUCACAUGAAGCCAUGCUUUCUCUACCUUGCAUCUUUUCCAAAGGACGCAAAAAUCAGCAGAGAUAGGUUGAAAAUGUUUUGGCGUGCUGAAGGGCUUGUUGAACAAACAGAGAUGAUGAGUUUGGAAGAAG
rnacentral:lncRNA from 1 species